rnacentral:lncRNA from 1 species
CUCAAAACUGUGGCUGUGCGCCAAACUUGUGUUGCAGUCAACAUGGUUAUUGCGGUCAGGGUAACGAUUACUGUGGCACUGGUUGCAAAGAAGGCCCUUGUUUCUCCAAGUCUCCCACUGGUGCUUCAGUUGCCUCCAUUGUUUCACCUCAGUUCUUCAACGGGAUAAUCAACCAAGCUCGUGCAGAUUGUGCGGGCAAGAAAUUCUAUACACGACAAGCUUUCCUGACUGCACUUGAUUCCUUUCCCGAUUUCGGAAAAUUGGGUUCUGAUGUUGAAUCCAAGCGUGAGAUUGCUGCAUUCUUCGCCCAUGCCACCCAUGAGACUGAGUGUAAAGCUCUUUUUCCUUUGAACUAAACUACGGAUUCAAAGCUCAUUAUAUAGUCCUAAAGCUGAUGUCUUUGUAUAUAUUCCUAUAUUUGCAGUCUUUUGCUAUAAAGAAGAGCAGGAUAAAAGUAAUAGCUACUGUGAAGCCAAUCCAAAGUUCCCAUGUGCACCAGGGAAGUCCUACCAUGGUCGAGGACCGCUUCAGCUUACAGGGAAUACUAACUACGGGAACGCAGGGAAUGCUUUGAAGCUGGACUUAUUGAAAAAUCCUGAAAUGGUGGCCAAUGAUCCUGUUGUCUCAUUUAAGGGUUCAUUAUGGUACUGGAUGGCCGCUGUCCGCCCCGUCAUCGGCCAAGGGUUCGGAGCAACCAUCAAAGCCAUCAAUGGCAGGCUUGAAUGUGGUGUUCCAGCUGCACAAGACAAAGUUCAGCGUCGAAUUCGGUUUUACACCGAUUAUUGUAAACAAUUGGGGGUUGAUCCUGGACCCAAGCUGUCUUGUUAGAGUUUUAGCGAUAUUUUCAGCUGUUUUUCUAGCAGUAUAAUAUGAACAAUUAGGGGCUUGAAGGCUACUGAUGCUGUUGAGUAGCUUUUGAUUUUCCCAGAAUAAGUUUACUGUAGGGUUCCUUUUAAGAGACCUGCUAUAGAAUAAAAUAAAGGGAAAUUUAUGUUAUUUUAUACAUUUGCCCUGCUAUGCGUCCUUAAUAUACUUAAAUUAAAUAUAGCAAUGUAAUAAAAUCGACAAACAAUUUUCUCUUAAUAUAUAGAUAAUGCGUCUAAGUUAAUAAUUGGUUUAGUUAAAGUAAAAUUUCAACACGCAUUUAGUAGUUAGAUUUGGGGCUGCUUUGUAUGGGUAUUUAUUUUCUGCAGUAAAUUUAGUUUUUUUUAAGUCUCACAUUACAAUAUUAUUAUUGUAUCUAAUUUUUUUAUUGUUAUUUUUAUAUUAAUUACAGAUAAACAUACCGUUUAUUUAAAAAGGCUCUUGAAAAAUUUAUACAGAAAACUCAUUAAAACUUUCCAUAAGUUCUCUUGUAAUUGUAAAUGAAUUACCUUAAAAAAUAUGAAAAACAAAUUCCAUCAUUUUUUAUUUCUCUCAUAUUUUUGUUAUUUAUUCAUAAUUUCUAACAUAAUUUUAAAUAAUUAUUGACAAUCUCUCAUAAUUUUUAGUAUUUUCCCAUAAUUUUAGUAUUUUCUCGUAAGGCAUGCCAUUAGAAUUUUUAGUAUGCUUUCAAAAUAAAUUGUUGACUUGAAAAAUCAAUUUUUGAUAUAAAAGAAAUAUUUUUGCAUACUAAUAAAAUUUGUUUUAUAUAUAAAAUUUAAAUUUUUUUAAAAAAUAAAGUAAAUUUUAUAAAAAUCAAUAUUUGGUAGCCUCUUAUAAUUUUUGGUACUCCAUCAUGUUUUUUGGUACUCACAUCAUAUUUUUUGGUAUUUCCUCGUGUUUUUUAGUACUCCAAAAAUUAUGAGGGAAAACCCAAAAAAAUAAAAGACGUACAAAAGAAAAAAACAUUAAGAAGUACCAAAAAUAUGAGGGAAUAUUAGAGGAUACCAAAUUUGGUUCGUCUUACUAAAUCUGUUUCAUUUAUUUAAUUUUUACUUUUAAAAAAAUUAUCAUGAAAUAUUUUUUUCCUUACAAAAUUUAGCAUGAAAAAUAAUAAUUUAAAAGUUACCAAAAUUUUUCUUUACAUCAUCCUAUUAAAAUUUCUUAAUAUUUAAAAUUAAUAUUUUUUACUCCAAAAUUAUAUCUCAUCCCAAAUCAUCAUUUCCAUGUAACACCCCUAACCCUAAACCGUCGCCAGAAGAGGGUUACGAGGCAUUACCGGACAUAUCAAACAGUUUACAAAUAAUUCUUAAAUAAAUGACAAACAUAUUAAAAUAUAAUCAUAAAUUCAUAUGUUUGUUUUACCAAUUGACUUUAUUCAUUUCUUCCAUCUCUUUUUAUUUUAUUAUAUAUUUUUUUUGUAAAUUUCGACAGCUUUUCUGCUUAUUUUUACAUAAAACCCCCUGCAACUAAAACUGCAACCAAUUUACAGUCAAUACAAAUACCAACAUAUUUUCACAUUCAAACAUAUCUAAAUCAUGCCUAAAUAUUUACUUAUUAAAUUGAUCAACAAUAGUCAUAAUACUUUAUAAAAGUUAACUAAUAACUUCAUUCAUCUCAUUUCAACUUUAGUACCCAACAUACCAUUUUAUAACUUAAUGUUUCGUUUAUCAUUCAAACAUUAGAAACUAAUUCUUUUCAAUCAAAACUUAUAAGACUCUUUAAUAAAACCUAAGUACAUGCCACAUUUACUAAAAGGAGAAGUACAUCACCGAAGUUAUGCUGAAGUCGAGAUUAAUCUGGAUGCUGAACCGAUACCUUUUUACUUCUAUCGACCUGUGCACGGAAACAACCGUACGCUGAGUAUUUCAUACUCAGUAGUAUUACUAUAAUUUAAGUUAUUUAAGUAAAAUAACAAAUAAACAUGUCGAAUUAUAUAACAAUUAAUUCAUAAAUAAACUAGCUUAUUCUUAACUUUCAUUUCUCAACAUUAACAGCUCAAUUUGGUUAUUCAUCAAUUUAAUAUCAUAUAACAUUUCUUUUGAACAUAAAUCUCUUCAUGAAUCUUUAAUUCAUUCUUUUCAUUCUCAUUUCUCAAUUUCAAUUCACUUCCCAUUUCAUGGAUAAAGUUGAUCAUUUUAAUUCAAUUAUUUUGGUAUUUCAUUUAUUUGCCCCUAUUAACAAGACUCAAACUUUGGCGGAUACACGGAUCCGACCAAACACACCAGAAUGGCACCCAGUGCCUCAUCGGAUAGUUCGAAGCAAAGUUGACACCCAGUGUCUCAUCGGCCAACCCGAAGUAAGUUGGUACCCAGUACCUUAUCGAAUCUAUCCGAAGAAAUAUAGUGACACUCAGUGUCUCAUCGACUCGAGGUCGAAGUAUCCCUGAACUCUUCCAAUCCUAUGGCCUGCCAACUAUAUCCGACUCAUCCCGACUAAUUAAUAGGGUAUUCAAAUAAUUUUCUAUUUCAAAAUCACUUUCUACUUUCUAAUCAAUAUACAAUUCAAUACCAAUACAUAUUUCAGAUAUUCACAUAUAAUCAUAUUUCGAUUCAAUUCAAAUAACUUUUCAAUCAAUACACAAUUCACAUAUUCACACAUAAUUAUAAUUUAAUCCACUUUUAUUCAAUUCAUAUUUUUAAUUCAUUCUCCAAUCAAAUUCAAAUCACUAAUUAUUUUUCAAUCAAUAUACAUUUCAAAUACUUACGUAUUUUCUUCAUUCAAUUCAAUUUGAUUCAAUCCAAAUCACUAUUAUCAUUUCAAUUGCUUACCUAAUUUUACUUACCAUGCAUUUUAAUUAAAAUAUAACAAUUAAUAAUAAAUAGAUUUGAAUUAUAGUAAUACAAACCGUGAAUCUCCCGUUUUAGUCCUCGAUAGCUUUUUCCUUUCCUUUUGAUGCCGAUGCAUCGGGUUCUUUGUUAGCUACGAAAAUAAUAGUAAUUUUUUGCUAUUAAUUACAGCAUUAAAUUAAAAUAAAUAAUUGAAUUUCUAAUCAAUUUUUACCUUACUUUUAAUUUAACCUUAACUAAUAGAAUCGGGAUAGUAAAUCAGAGAUUAGUGAAUUAAAAAUCGUAAUUAAGUCAGAUCAUUAAAUAAUUAGAAAUUAAUUAAAUAAAAUAUUAAAAUAAAUAGAAUUAAAGAUUUUAGGUUAAAAAAUUAAAAUUAAGUGUUUACAAAUUAAUUUGGUUAAAACGAAUUUUAAAAAUAAAAUCGAGUUUGAAAAUAAUUGAGAACCAAUUUGUUUUAACUAAGGUUGAUUUGAAAAAUAAGGAAAAAUUGGGUGUUUUUAAAAGGCAAUGUUUCCUCUCUUUUUUUUUUAUUAAAAAAAUUGCUUAUCUUUUUUCUCCUUAAGAACCCCCGCACCCCAUUCCCUCCCAUCUAGUUUUACAUUCAAAAAAGUUUCCAAAUUCAAAUAUGAUAUUUUCUCUUAAAAUUAACUUAUCCUUAGUGAUUUUCUAGCUGUCCAAAUACCUCAACACCAUUCAAUUUUAAAGAAAAAUCAUUAAAUCCUAAUCAAAUUCGUCAUUAUCCUUCUCAUGUCCAACUUCGAAUUAGCUUCACAACAUGUUUUUUUCUUCAAAUUGAGGUAAUCUCUUGACUUAUUAUGAUUAGAUUAAGGUUUUUGUUUUUCUAUUUCGGAAUUUAAUUAAGCUUGUUGAGAGUUUUUAAGAUUUAAAGCUUUUUAAUCAAAUCUUAAUCCAACAAUGGUGAAAUUCGAAAUAAUAAGUAAACCUACAAUUUUUAUUGAUUUCUAAUAUAUUUUUAACUAAAUAUAAGGUAUUUGAACUCAAUUUAAUGGAUCGGUAAUGAAUUUUCAAGAAUUUCAAAAUUUCCCUUUUUGUAUGUUCAUACAAACUUGAUUUUCUGAAAAUUUUAAAUUCGUAAAAUUAGGUUAAAUUAAAGGUUUAUAUUUGCAACAAUAGGUUAAAUAAGAUGUUUAGAAACUUAAUUAAGGUUUAAGAACAUAAAUUGAGUGAGGAAACCUCAAAUUUCGACAAAAUGAGUUGAUUUUCGGUAUGAGAAAAGUGACCUUAGAGUAGUGAUUUUGCUAAUGUUCUUUUUUAAGGUUGUUGAUAAUGUGUCUAUAAUGUAUUUAAUGUGAAUGCAAAGUGUCAGACUCGUUGGGAGCUUUUACGAGCAAGGCAAAAAAGGAAAGAAAAGCUCGUUUGAGAUUGUUGUGUGCAAGGCAUCGACUAGGUGAGUGAUUGAAACUGUGGCUCUAAGGCACGAUUCCUAAGGUUGAAUAGGAGCUUAGGUUGGUCUAAUAACCUAACCUAAGCUUCGAGAGUAAGUAUUCUUACUUGACCUACGUGCUAUUAAAUUCGAUGUUUGUUUAUUGUGAUAUGUGAAUCAUGUGAAAUAUUAAGCAUGUGUUAUGUGUAAAUGAAAAUGAUUGAUAAGUACUUGUUGGUUUUAUGCGCACUUGAAUAAUUUAAUAUGAUUAUGGCUCUUUUGAGCAAUUUUGAUAGCAUUUGAGAGUGCAUUAAAAGUGUUGAGAAAUUGAUUGAGAAAGUGUUGUUAACAAGUGAAAGUUUGUAUAAAAUGAUGAGUGAAUAUGUGUGUAAGUGGAUAUGUUGGCAUUGUGAUUAUUUGGAACCAUUGGAUAUCAUUGGCAUAUCAUAAGAUUAUGAGUAAUCACCAUUUUUAUUAUGUGUUAAGGCAUUAUGGCCCGGAGAUAGCGUUGGAGAGAUAAGGAAAUGUCGAGCGUAGCUCUAUCAUCGUAGAUAGCGUGGUGUGUUUAGAGAGCGUGAGCAUUCAUGCUAUACUUACAUGGAGGUAACAUUCAACUUUAUGAGUCAUGGGGAGUGUUUGGAGAUCUGCUUAUCUAAUGCAUUACUGAUUAUAUAUAUGUUCCAUGUCACAUUAUGCCAAUAUAUCAUUGUGUUUACUUUGUGAUAUGUUUGAUGCUAUGUCAUGGUUGCAAGAUUUAGUAUGUUUUCUUUCAACUAUUGAUUUUAUGUCUAAUUGUGGCAAUUUUUUGUGCACUCACUGGGCUUUACCAAGCUCACAUUCCUUACUUUACCUUAUAGAUAAAUAGUUCAUGGGUUAGCGAGGAGGGUGGCAAAUUGGUGAUCUAUCAUUGCAAGACAUUUUUUUAGAGUAUGUGGGUUGAGCUUUUAAACUCUAAAGUGAAGGUAACGUGGGUUGUUCCAAUGUUUUAGUACUAGAAUUAGACUUAGACUUUUUAAAUAAAAUUUUUAACAUGUUGUAAACGGACAUUUCGAACUGUUUAAUUUUUAUUUUUUGGGAUUUUGAAUGUUUUAAUUGUUUUUUUGAUUGCUUGUCUGGAUGAUUUUAUUACUAAUUUAAUGUGAUGUUAAUCAUAUAAGCUAACGAUUUUUUUGCAACUAAGGGAGACCGCCGAAUAUUAAGGUACGCCCUAUACUUUCUAAUUGUGUGAAUGAAAUAAUUAAUUUAGAAAAACAUGCACUUAGGACUAAUUCCUAUAUGAAAUAUUCUACAAAUGUGUGGUGUGUGUAUAGUUGGUUGGUGUGGUUUGUAAAGUUUUAAAUAGAGAGUCACCUCGGUGGCUAAUGUGACGUUCGAAAUUCGAGUUGGACCAUCUCGACCGGGUUUGCGGUGUCACAUAUACCAAUUUUUCGUUUGUCUUAUAAUUUUUUUCAUUUAUUUAAAUUUUCAUAUUUUUUAAAAAUUAUCAUGAAAUAUGAAUUUUUGCAGUAUCUGAUUAAAUGCAAAAAGUACAUAUUUUAUGUAAUUUAAUUGGUCAAUUUAUGAGAAUGCACCACUGAUUUUCUCCAUUUUAUAUUGAAUUUUAUACAAGCGUGCAAUUUAAGGUCAAAAGAGAAAAAGGAGAAGUAAUUGGGCUAGAUUGAAGAAAGGAGCAAAGAAAGCAGGCCAAAACAGAAUUUUUCUAAGUUGUAAUUAGCUGAAAUUUUAUUUUGACUUAGUGGGAGAUUAUGUAGGGAUUUUGAUAUCAUGGGAAUAUUUUUUUUCCUUGAUUUUCUAUGGCUAGUGGCCUUUAAUUUGGCAAAUUUGUUCAAAGCCACUAGUACAAAUAGGGGGCUACUAUGUUCAUUUAAUCAUCAAAUUUUUCAUCAAGCUUUCAUCUUUGGAAUGCAAUCUUUCCUUUCCUCUCUCGAAAUUAUUUGUUGUCUUUGGUUACUUUACUUUCAAAAUAUUAAUUUCUAGCUUGUCACCGACCUACACUACUUACAUUUUUCUUUUUCAAACAUUUUCCUCAUUCCUUGUAACCUGAAACUAUUUUUAUACCCAAACAAAAUCCCAGCCACAUAUUAAGCCACCCACUUUUACCAUUUCAACAUUUUUUUCAUCCAACCCACUCAAGAUAUGACCAGCUCCAAUAUGCCCCAAACCUUAGUCAACUAAACCCAUUUCAGCUUCAGGUCAGUGUUAGUUUCGUCAAGAUCCAUGAGUUACGAACCCGAGCAAUUCAAUUCCUAAUUUUCAGUACUUAUUAUUUCUCUAGAGUAAGAGUAUGACUUCGUCAACUCACAAAGUCAAAUCAACACUAAGUCAAAAAAGACGUCGUUUGAGUUAGUGUGGUUAGACGUAUAGUUAGAAUUCUGAAAGGAUCAAUUGUCUAAUCAGUUUUCCGUGAACACAUUGGCGUGCCAAGUGGGGAUUGUUGUUUGGUUCCGUCAAGGGAAGUAGUAUCCGGAUUUAAAUGUCCCACGCGGUUGAGGACAUUGGUUCGAGCUAGGCUGUUCUAGAACGCAAGGCUACUAGAGUUCUAAACCACGAACGUUUCGUUGGUUGUUCGAUCGGUAAGGGUUAGUUAUAGGACGUUCCAUAACUAAUUUACACAAGGAAGAGUUGGUGUCCGAGGCGUCCUUGGUAGCUAUAACUAGCUUAUUGGAAAAGAGGAGUUCAUCUAAUUUCGAGGAUCGGUUCAAAGACGAGGAAAAACCUGUACCUGAAGCUGAGCUAAGUUUAAUUAAUUUUUCUUCAGAUUUACUUAACUGUUUUUAUUAUUUAAUUGUUUUCAGCUUUUACUUUUUACACAUUUUUCCCUAUUUAUUUAAGGUUUUCAAAUUUUAUCCCCCCCAAAUUUCUUGGGCACGACAACUGCCCAGACAUACAUCUGGUCGAGAGAGAGAAACAAUUUUCAAUAAAUCCAGUCUCUGAGGGAUCGACCCUACUCUCUAUACCGCUCAAGUUUGCAAAUUAGGUGUAGGAUUAUAUUGGUGGAAUCGACACCCAUCAGUACCAAUUUUUAGUAUUAAAAAUUAUAAUUUCACAGUUACAAUUUUUUCCAUUACAACAUCUCAUUGAAAUUUUGUAAGCACUAAAUUUUGUCCGGGUUUUGUCGUGUUUAAUUUUUUUUAAAUUUCAAAAAAUACAAAAAAUAAAAAUUACAUUUUGACCCCUAAACUUCUUGAAAUCGCGUUUGACCCCUAAAUUUUCCUAAAAUUAUAUUUUGACCCCUAAACUUUUUGAAAUUACAUUUUGACCCAUUAAAUUUUUGAAAUUACAUUUUGACUCCUAAAUUUUCUAAAAAUUAUAUUUUGGCCACACAAGUUUUGUUGCAUUUACAAUCUGGUCUUUCUGGCAACUAAACGUGAUUUGCGCACCUAAUCCCAAGAUUUCCGGCCACCGGCCUAGGUUAUGGCCUCCCUUCUCCUAGCAACCUGCCACCUGCAAAAAGAAGCAAAGAAAUCACUAUAAAAUGGGUUUAAAACCCCAAAAUCAAGACCCCCUACAAAACGAAAAAGAAAAAAAAAGAGCUUUUUCGAAAAAAGAGAAGAGAAGAGAAAGAAAAGAAAAAGAAAAAAAGAGGAGAAGAGGAGAGCCUCCGACGGCGGCCCAACGGCAGAGACGACAGUAGCGGCGACGUGAAAGAGGUGGCAAGGCAAGCUAGGGUUUUGAGAAAGAAGAAGGAAGAAGAAGAAAAAUAAGAAGAAGAAGAAAGGAAAAAAAAGAAAGGAAAAAGAGAAAAAAAGAAAAUAAAUUUUAUUUAAAAUAGUCGGGUCGCCCAAAAAAAAAAUACAGCAGCAAAAAAGAAGAGCAAAAAAAAAAGUAGCCCCAUAGCAGGCCAGCCCAAGCGCAGGCCCAACCUAGCGCCAGGCCUAACAGCAGGCCUAGCAGGCCAGCAGACCCAUCCCAGCACCAGCAGGCCCGCAGGCUCUUUCCAGCAGCAGGCCCAACAGCUUGCCUAGCCCAGUCCAGAAUAAAGGAAGGAAAAAAAGGAAAAAAGAAAGAAAAAAAAGAAAAAAAAAGAGAAAAAGAGUAAUGAAAAAAAAGAAAAAAAGAAAAAAAGGAAAAAGGGUUGUGUAUUCCGUUCAUCAAGCUCGUAUUUUUGAGUUUUUGGUAAUUUUUUUUACCCACUUUUAAUUUAAUUUACGUAUUUUUAUGACAUUUCAUCUUUAAUAUUCUUGGUUUUUUUAGCAUUUUUUUAUACUUCGUAUUUAAUUUUAUUAUUUUUAAUUUUCAUAAAUAAGGCGACGAACCGAUUUAACAUUAAGUCGUAUAUUUUCAUCGCUAUGUUGGGUGAAUAUAUUUGGCUCGUGUUAAAUUCAGGACCCCCUUUUAAAAAAAUAAAAAAAAUUAAAAAUUCUCGUGUUUUGAAAUAAAAUAUGUAUUUUUGUAAUUAUCGGUAAAUUUAUCAAAAUUUUAUCUUUAAAAAUGUAUAUAGUACGAUAACAUGUAAUUUAUCAAAAUUUUCGCAUUUUUAAAAAAAAUUGUGUUUUCGUAUUUUCAACAAAUUCUCGUGUUUUAAAAAAAAAAUAUUGUGUUUCAAUCGGAUCACGAUUAAAUAUUAAAUUGAACUGGUAUUUUUGAAAAUUAAGACAACACGCGCUUAACGAGAUACCAAUUUUGGGCGUCGCGAGGGUGCUAAUAUCUUCCUCGCGCAUAACCGACUCCCGAACUAUAAUUUUCUCUGGAUUUUUUAACGUGGACCUAAAAUUGACUCUUUUAAAGAAAAUUUCAAAAAUUUAUCUUUUAAAAAGAGAAUUUAAUAGGUGACCGAUCACACAUAGAAAAAAAAGAUCGGUGGCGACUCCCUUUUUUAAAUAAAAUCGAGACUCUGCUUUUAAAUUUUCCAUAAUCACUUUGACUAGCACCUGUGCGAAAAUUUUUAGGUCGCUACAGCUGGCGACUCUGCUGGGGACGAUUUUUGAGAGUCGAGUUUGAUGUUAAACGCGUGUUGUCAAAAUUUUCAAAAUUCCUUGUUCAAAUUAAUUUUUAAUCGUGAUCCUUGAACUUUAUUUUUGAAAAGUCAUACAUCUGCAUCCGGUUUGUAAAUUAAUAUUUUUCUAACUUAUUUUAUUUUUCUGUUUUUUUUCAGCUCUAAGUUUUACGUUUUUUUUAGUUUGUUUUUUUAAUAAAAAUAAAAAAUAAAAAGUAAAAAGGUUUGUGAGUUUCUCCCCACACACCAUGCAAUUGCAUUCUUGCAUAACAUGAGCUCUCUACCCAGACUUCGUCCGUUUAAGUGGAAGUAAACGCUACGCCUUCGUGAGUUAACUCGUCCCUCCUUACAAGCUAGUGAAUUACUUCCGGGUUACAUAUGACUUUUGCUUUCGUGAGUCAACUUGUCCCUCCGCAUAGGCAUAAGUAAAUGUAACUCCUCGAAUUGAGCUUGCGAGCCCAUGACGGGUGAUAACCGAGGCUCCGUACUAACCUUAGUAGGUGACAGUAUGGACAAUUCGACUACCUUUCUAGAACCAAAACCACAUAUAGUGAACCGUACGAGCCACCCGGUUAGAGCCAUGUCAAACCUCUGUCUGUUGGAUAUUUACCAAAUAAGUACAUGGGAGAAACGUCUCUUACCUUGUAUUUCUUUUUCAUUUACAUCUUUUGCAAGGGAAUCAGACCUGUUUAAUAAAAUUGGAUCGGGUAGAUUAUCUGAUAAGUAUGUGGGGUAGGUUUCUCGUAAAGCAUGAUGGGGCAAAAAGAAAACAAAAAAAAAUUGGGUCUGUUUCACCAAAUUGCAUGAUUGAAUAGCUUAAUUUGUUAGAUUUUCCAUAGUUUUUAGUUAUUUCCUCUGUUUAUAUCUGUUUUGAUUACUAACCAAGGUUAUUUAUCUUCAUUUUAUUUCUCGUCAUGUAUCAUAGGCAUUUUAUUAGGAAGGUGUUGAUAAGAGAUUGGUUGCCAAAAAUGGGUUUCUGAUGGAAGAGCCAAUUACACAAGUAACUGAGAAAAAUGCUGUAGUCCAAGAUUGGUCUUCAAGGAUUCAGAUAGUAAAAGGGGACAAUUUAAAAGAAGGAUACAUCUCUGAUCUUCCCGAGCAUGUGACUUCGAAUGCUCGUCAGAACAAUCUCGAAUACUUAACGAGGAUUUGGAAAUAGUGGGACUUAGAUACCAGAGUUUUCUUUACUGAAAAGUACGGGGAUAUAGCUCACUUGAUAGCAAUCAAUGUGAACGAGCAGUUGAUUCAAGCCAUGGUUUGAUUCUGGCACCCAACUUAUCAGUGUUUCACUUUCAAUCAGGAAGACAUGACUCCAACCAUAGAAGAGUAUGCCGCCCUGCUCCGCAUUGACAAUGUGCAACUCAACAAGAUAUAUGUGAAGGAGCCUAAACCAAUGACCUUCAAGAAAAAGUUAAUGAAGCUGACGGGGAUGGCUGAUACAUGGGUUGAGAAAUAGAUAAAGAAGAAGAAUGAAGUCAGUUGUGUUUCGUGGUUCUCUCUUCGGGAGUUAGUUCAGAAUCAUCCAAAUAUUUUGAAGAGAAUGGAUCUGUUUUCCUUGGCCGUUUACGGACUGAUCGUCUUCCCAAAGGUUCUUGGGCAUAUUGAAGUGGCGGUAGUGGAUUUUUUCGAAAAGUUGAGGUAUGGAAUCAAUCCCAUCCCAACCAUCUUGGCCAAUACUUUUAGAUCUCUAAAUAAUUGUAGGAAGAAAGGGGAAAGACGUUUUAUCGGAUGCGCUCAGUUACUUAAUGUUUGGAUUUUUAGUUACUUUUGGAAAGUGGAGCGCACACCUUUCCAUAUGUUUUCAAAAACAUUCGCUCCUUUAGAAGCACACAUUGAAAAAGAUUGGCCAAAGGAUGUCACUGAACAGCAUUGGGUCUCGAUUUUUCAGAACCUUCGUGCUGAAGAUGUAACUUGGAGAGCACAUUGGAUUUGUCCUUCUGUUUUGUUAUAUAAGUGUGGAAACCUAGACUGGGUACCUUUGCUAGGAUUGUGGGGAGGAGUUGGAUAUGCUCCAUUAAUGGUUCAAACAUAGGUCGCUUCGCAACUGUUUGUACCAGUUAUUGAUGGAUUGGCACAUUCAGAGUUUGCCUUUACGGGUGAGGGUUACAUGAAAAGGGUUCGAGAUACUGCGAAUUCUUGGAAGAGAAUAUACCUCAUGAAAUUGGCUUUCUAUGCUGAUACUCUCACUGUAGAUUAUGAUAUAUGGAGGCAACGACGAGUGAAGAGUCAACUGACCACGCUGAUUGAUGAUGCUUGCCGGAAUCCAUUCUCAGAGGAAAUGCCUUCCGAGCUGGAAAUAACAAGACAUGAAUUUGAAUAUGAAAAAGCCAAACUGUUACGAGAUAUUAGUUCUCUUCAAGAGGAGAACUACAAGCUAAAUAUUGAUGUUGAAAUUGAAAAAUCCAGAGCCGAGAAAGUCCAAAAAGAAGUUGAGGUCAUGAGAAAAGAUUUAAGAGACAUUCAUUUGGAAAAUAAGAAAUUAAGAGGCAUUAUAAAGAAUAGUGGAUUGGGCAAAUCAUCGGCAGAAUGGAAGGAAGAAUUAAUCAAUAUUAAAGGUGGGAUGGAAUUCUAGAAAGUAAAAGUAAAGGAGGAGGAGGAAAGAGCUGCACGUGCUACGAUAGAGUUAAGGAAGAAGAAUGCUGAAUAUGAAGCUGUGUUUACAGAAUUAACCGCUAGUCAGUCUGAGCAUCAGGAGCUAAAAGUGAAAAUCCAAAGUUUAGAAAGUGCACUGCAAGCUUAUCAGCACCAUUUGGAUGACCUCCUAAGAGCUCUAGAGGAUAAGAAUGAUCAGCAUGACAGAGACAUUCGUGCCUACAAAAGAGCGCUCCAAGAAAAGGAUAUACAUCUCGACGGCUUGAUCAAUGAAAUUCACAAGGCAGUUUUGCAAAUUGUGCAAUUAUCAGAUCAAGCCGAAGCUCUCAGCUGCCAAUUCCCUCUGAGCCAAAGAUCAAGUAUGUCAGAGUUCGUAGAAUGAGUGAAGAAACAAGGUGAUAUGGCUAGGAAAUUUAUGUAACUGUUAAAUCUGAAAUGGCAAAACAUUUUGUAAUAGACUCCUUUGAUUAAUGAAAUGCCUCAGUAUGGAACUAUCUUGAAAUCAACACCAAAUUCUUGCAUAUUUAUUCAUGACUAACAUUCAUUUGUCAUUUAUUCAUUCAUCCAUUCAUUGCAUGUACAUAUCACUAUAAUCAUUCACUAAGGCUAAAAUAGUAUAAUCCACAGUUGCGACACAAGUUUGGAAUCACGUCAUCCUUACAGGACACGUCUAAGAACUAGAACUAUGGAUGCUGAACUUAAUGAAAGAAUCGAAAGGAUAGAAAGGAUUCAAAGAGAGUUACAAGAACAAUUGGCCAAGUCACAACAAGAGGCGAGAGAUAUGAUGGUGAGAUUUCGUGAAGAAUCACUUGAGCAAAGAGAUCAAAUGGCCAAAAUGAUAGAAAUGAUGACAGCUUUGGUCAAAGGACAGGGACUCAUGCAGAGCCCCGAUAUCGUAGAGCCCCACUCAAGAGCUAAUCAAGAUCCACCUUAUCUCCCGGGAUUCACUCCACCUCAUGUCCACGCAAUGCAAAGAGGAUAUCCCCAAAGGGAACCUACAAUCCUAGAACAACAUCCUGCACCAUCAGCUUACAUAGGGCAAGGGAUGUUUGUAUCGAAUCCCAGAGCUAAUCCUACAGAUCCAAUUGUUCCAGAUUUGGAUGAUCCGAUAGAAAUAGCAAGGUUGAAGGUUGAUGAUCAUGAUACUCAAGAUAGGUAUAGAAUAUUGGAAGAAAGGCUCAAGGCAAUAGAAGGUACUGAAGUCUUCUCUGCAUUGAGCGCCGAAGAGCUCAGUUUAGUACCCGAUCAGGUUUUACCCCCGAAAUUCGAGGUGCUAAAGUUUGAAAAAUAUAAUGGAACGAGAUGUCCAAAGACACAUCUUAUCAUGUUUUGUCGAAAGAUGACUGGCUACGUUAAUGAGGAAAAAUUACUGAUACACUGUUUUCAGGACAGUUUGGUUGGAUCGGCUCUUCGGUGGUAUAAUCAGCUUAGUAGAGAAAAAAUCCGAUCACAGAAAGACUUAGCAUCAGCGUUUUGCGAGCAAUACAAGUAUGUAUCAGAUAUGGUACCUGAUCGACUAACCUUGCAGAUGAUGGAAAAAAACCCAUGGAGACUUUUAAACAAUAUGUGCAAAGAUGGAGGGAUGUUUCAGCUCAAGUGGAACCUUAAGAUAAGUUAGUAGGAAGCGCCACGAAAGACUUUGCAGACAUUGCAAUAUCUGGGGAGCUUAUAGAGAACGCCAUCAAGAGCGGGAGGAUGGAAGGCCCUAAAAGUUCAAAAAGGGCAGUACCCGCAUGAAAAAAGGAGGUAGAAACCCAUAUGGUUGGAAAUGCAGGCCACCAUACUUCCAACCCUUACUCAUCCCAACCACGACCUUAUUACUGCCCGCCUUCAAACUUUUACUUUCCUCCUCAAGGUCCUUACUAUCCAACACCUUCUCCUUAUCCUGUAUAUGCCUUGAAUAAUCAAAGAUUGUUCGUCAUGUUUCCACCAAACACCAUGCUCACACAAAGCCAACCUAAAAAUGACCAAAGACCAGCAAAACCUAGUUUUGCAAAACCUCAGUUCACCCCAAUUCGUGUGCCAUACGGAGAAUUAUACCCGAAACUAUUGGAGAAACAAUUAAUAUCCCCACAUUACAUGGCACCCCUGAAGCCCCUAUAUCCGAAAUGGUAUGAUCCUAACACUAGUUGUAUGUAUCAUGCUGGAAAUCAAAGGCAUUCUACAGAAAAUUGUCUUGCCUUUAAAAGGAGAGUUCAAGACCUUAUUGAUGCAGGUAUUCUACGUUUUGAUGGUGUUAGUAAUGUGGCUGGAAAUCUUCUUCCUAACCAUACUGAUGGAAAUGUGAAUGCUAUGACAAAUGAAGACGGGAGGCGAGCCAAAAGCUGUGUUGCUAAAGUAAAAACGCCUUUGCGAAAGGUAUGAAAAAUGAUGGUUAAAAAGGGUUUGCUCUGUCCUCAAAACAGAUUUGUCAAAUAACAAAACAUAAUAGGUCUAAGUUUUUGUGACUUCCAUGGCACUGGUGAGCAUGACAUCCAAUCUUGUAAGGGAUUUCGAAAACUACUUCAAGAUAUGAUGGAUGACAAAGAGGUCAAGAUUUUUGAUAGAAUAGAUGAGGCUAAUGAAGGAGAAAUAUGCGUCUCUGAUGAUCAACCAUCAGCUAUCCCUUACAGCGCUGAUUGACCUUUUGUGAUUUAUUACGAGACGAAGAAGGAAGAAGUCAAACUAAAUGUGAUAAUUGAGGUGCCAUUUCCUUUCCCUUACAAGGACAGUAAGGCAGUAUCAUGGAGAUAUGAUGUCAAUAUUGUUGUUCCCGAAGGUGAAAAGUCAAAGGCUAUGGCUGGAAGCGUUAGUGGGGUGGGACACUUUACCCGUAGCGGUAGAUGUUAUUCUCCCGAAAUAGUUAAACCAAAGAAGAAAGCCAUUGACUCGAAUCAAAAAGGAAAAACAUCAUUGCAAGAGGAUGAGAUCAAUGUUGAAAUACCAUCUGAAUAGGAAGUUAAGAGACUUGUGAAUGAGGAAGAAGCACAUGAAUUCUUGAAGGUCAUCAAUCAUAGUGAAUAUAGUGUUGUAGAGUAAUUAAACAAGCAGCCAGCGCGAAUCUCGGUAUUAUCUCUACUGUUGAACUCAGAGCCACAUCGAAAUGCCUUGCUGAAAGUGUUAAACCAAGCUUAUGUGGCAAGCACUAUAUCUGUAGAAAAGCUUGACAGGUGGAUAAAUAAUCUGAAUGCGGAUAAUUUCAUCUCUUUCAGUGAUGAUGAGAUACUGCCAAAUGGUAGGGGCUCUGUUAAAGCACCACAUUACAACCAGUUGCAAGGGUUACAUAGUACCGAAUGUGCUCAUCGAUAACGGGUCCACACUAAAUGUCAUGCCUUUGGUCACACUUUCUAGGAUGUUAGUUGAUAUGUCUUAUCUAAGGCAUUGUCAUUCCACAGUAAGGGCAUUUGAUGGACACGGCGACACGUUAUGAGAAAGAUCCAAAUUCCUCUAGAGGUGGGCCUGUAUGUAUAUGAUAUCGAAUUUCAACUCACGGAUAUCAUGCCUUUAUACAAUUGCCUUUUAGGGAGGCCUUGGAUUCAUUCUGCUGGGGCAGUUCCUUCAUCUCUCCAUCAAAAAAUAAAGUUUAUCAUGGAUAAUCGUUUGAUUACUGUCGCUGGUGAGGAAGACAUUGUCGUAUUUAUUUCUUUUGAUACACCAUACAUUGAAGUAAGCAAGGAUGCCGAGGAAUGUUCUUUUCAUUCCUUUGAAUUCAUCAAUGCUACAUUCAUCACCGAAGGAAACAAGGUUCCCACACCCAAGUUGUCAAAGAAUACCAAUUCGGGAAUUAAGUUGACUGUGGGAAAAGGAGCUCGAGCGAGAAAAGGUUUGGGAAAAUAUCAGCAAGGGAUAGUUAGAGUAUUGAAACCAAUUCACCACAAGUCUCGAUGCGGUCUGGGGUUGGAGCCAGAUAUAAGUAAAAAAAGAAAGCAAUUAUAGAAAAAUCGAAAAAGAAGAAUCGCAAGAGCCUUAGGUCGAGAAUUUGAAUGGGAGCCGAUAUCGUAUCCUCCCUUAUUAGAAACAUUUAUAUCGGCAGGGGUGAUGUACCCAGGGCAAGACAAUCCACAAAUCACAUUAUUGAUUGAAAAGAGUUUUUAGAGUAUCAGUAUAAAUGUGGUUGACAGCGAGGGUGAUGCAAUUGAGGAUGUUUCAAUGAUACGCCCAUGUCCUAUAAGAUAUGCUUUAAACAAUUGGACUGCUGUGGACCUUCUUGUAAUUUCUAAGUCCUCUCUAGAGUAAUGCCCAAUGUUAAUUCUCCAUUUAUUUUGUGUACCCCUAAAUAGUGGGAGUCCUUUUGUAAGAGCUUAUGUUUGCUCUUUUUCAUUUCAAUGAACAUUAAUGAAGAUGCAUUUUGUCAUGAUCUUUUCAUUUCCGUCAGUUUCAUAAUUACCCUAUUGCUUCAUAUCCUUUCUCUCCGUGUAUUUCAUAUCAUUUCAUAACAUUGUGUGUAUUGAUUCCAAUACUUUAAUGCUCCUCUAUAGUUUUCUUUCCCGUUCACCUUUCAAGUGCUCAGAUAUUCAUGGCAUGAACAAUCCCGUUACAAUUCUUGAAAUUGAUUUCGAGAAAGCUAUUUGUUUAGGAGAAUUCGAAGCCAAAGAAAGUGCUAAAUAUUGUGUCCCGUCUCCUUACUUAUUGAGAAUGGUAGAAAAAGAAGAGAAACAAAUUUUACCCCAUCAAGAAUAUGUUGAGACAGUGAAGUUAGGAAAUGAAGAAAAGAAACAAUAAGUGAAGAUUGGGACUUCCAUUUCAGAAAACACCAAACAUAAUUUGAUCGUCUUACUCCGUGAGUACAAAGAUGUAUUUGCCUGGUCUUAUCAGGACAUGCCAGGGUCGGAUGAGGAUGCAGUGGUCCAUAGGCUCCCACUGAAACCAGAAUGCAAACCCGUUCAACAAAAGCUAAGAAGGAUGAGACCUGAAAUACUGUUAAAGAUAAAAGAAGAAGUCAAGAAACAAAUUGAUGCUGGCUUCUUACAAGUCUCUAAAUAUCCAGAAUGGGUAGCUAAUAUAAUCCCGAUUCGAAGAAAGAUGGCAAGGUACGAAUGUGCGUUGAUUAUUGUGAUCUUAAUCGAGCAGGCCCUAAAGAUAAUUUUCCUUUGCCACACAUUGAUACAUUGGUAGAUAACACGACAAAACGUUCAUUAUUUUCUUUCAUGGAUGGUUUCUCAGGUUACAAUCAGAUAAAGAUCGCCCCCGAAGAUAUGGAGAAAACCACAUUCGUGACAAUGUAGGGAACGUUUUGUUACUAAAUGAUGCCAUUCGUAUUGAAGAAUGCUGGGGCAACGUAUCAGAGAGCCAUGGUGAUGUUGUUCCAUAAUAUGAUGCACAAAGAAAUAGAAGUCUAUGUCGAUGAUAUGAUUGCCAAAUCUCGGGGAGAAGAAGAGCAUGUUGGGAAUGUCAGGAAGCUGUUCGAAAGAUUAAGAAAGUUUCAAUUGAAGCUUAACCCAGCCAAAUGUACAUUUAGGGCUACCUCGGGAAAAGUACUAGGUUUUAUUGUCAGCGAGAGGGGUAUUGAGGUUGAUCCAGAUAAGAUAAAGGCCAUACAAGAACUACCACCUCCGCGUACGCAAAAAGAAGUCAGAGGAUUUUUAGGAAGGUUGAAUUACAUUGCUCGAUUCAUUGCUCAACUUACCAACAAGUGUGAUCCAAUUUUUCGACACCUUCGAAAGCAUAAUCCGGGAGAAUAGAAUAAGGAGUGCCACAUGGCCUUCGACAAGAUAAAACAGUAUCUGUCUAAUUCUCCGGUGCUAGUACCGCCAAUCCUUGGAAAACCCAUAAUAUUGUAUCUGACCGUGUUCAAAAACUCAAUGGGUUGCAUAUUGGGGCAGCAUGAUGAGUCAGGGAAAAGAGAAAAAGAGAUUUACUACCUCAGCAAAAAGUUCACAAAAUAUGAGGCAAAGUACCCGUCAAUUGAAAAAUUUUGUUGUGCAUUAAUCUAGGUAGUUCGAAGGUUUAGACAAUAAAUGUUGUAUCAUACAACAUGGUUAAUUUCAAAGGUAGAUCCAUUAAAGUACUUGAUGGAAUCACCCGCACUCUCAGGGAGAAUGGCACGAUCGUAGAUCCUAUUGUCUGAAUAUGACAUUGUGUAUGUGAACCAAAAGUCGAUAAAGGGAAGCGCGAUAGCUGACUUCUUGGCAAGUUGAGCAAUGGAAGAAUAUGAGCCGCUGAGAUUUGAUUUUUCAGAUGAAGACUUGAUAUGCAUUUCCGAAUGUGAAUCAUCAAAAGAUCAAUCAUGGAAGAUGAGUUUUGAUGGGGCAUCGAACGCAUUGGGGCACGGGAUAGGAGCAGUCUUAGUGUCACCAGAAGGAAACCAUUACUCGUUUACUGCCAGAUUGAAUUUCUUUUGUACUAAUAACAUAGAAGAAUAUGAAGCUUGCAUCAUGGGACUUCGUACUACUAUUGAACAGAAAAUAGAAAUCUUAGAGGUGUAUGGGGACUCAGUGUUAGUGAUUUAUCAAAUUCGCAGAGAUUGGGAAGUGAGAGAUUCAAAAUUAGUCAAUUAUAGCAAUCUCUUGGCAGAAUUGGUCAAAGAAUUCAAAAAAGUGACUUUUCAUUACUUCCCACGAGAAGAAAACCAGUUGGUUGGUACCCUGGCCACAUUGGCUUCAAUGUUCAAAGAAAACAGAAAACAGAAAUAAUACAUCUUCAAAUAAGCAUAUAUGAGGUCCCCGCACAUUGUUUUAGCAUUGAGAAGGUGUCAGAUGUACGACCGUGAUUUCAUGACAUCUUGGAAUAUAUUAAGAAUUAAAGGUAUCCCGAGCAAGCAAACGAGAAUGAUAAAAGAACAAUCAGAAGAAUGGCGGCUGGUUUUGUUCUUAACGGGGAUAUCCUAGACAAAAGAGGAAAGAUCAAAUGCUCUUGAGAUGCGUGGACAAUGUUGAAGCCAAAAGAAUACUUGAAGAUGUCCAUGAAGGAAUUUGUGGAACGCACGCCAAUGGGUUUACUAUUGCUAGGUAGAUUAUGAGACUUGGUUAUUUUUGGCUGACAAUGGAAAGGGAUUGCAUUAGCUACGCACGAAAGUGCCACAAGUGUCAAAUUUACGGCGAUAAAAUUCAUGCAGCUCCUUUGCCCUUUCAUGUCAUGACUUCUCCGUGGCCUUUUUCUAUGUGGGGCAUGGAUGUUAUAGGGCCAAUUUCCCCGAAGGCUUCCAAUGGGCAUCAAUAUAUUUUUGUAGUUAUAGAUUACUUUACAAAAUGGGUGGAAGCCACUUCAUUUGCUAAUAUGACAAAGAUCGCGGUCUGCAGGUUCCUAAAAAAGGAGAUCAUAUGUCGAUAUGAUUUGCCUGAGAGAAUCAUUUCAGAUAAUGCUUUGAACCUGAACAACAAAAUGAUGAAAGAAGUGUAUGAGCAAUUCCAGAUAAAACAUCAUAAUUCAUCACCUUAUUGCCCGAAAAUGAACGGAGUUGUUGAGGAGGCCAACAAAAACAUUAAGAGGAUUAUCGGGAAGAUGACUAUGACAUAUAAAGAUUGGCACGAAAAACUACCAUUCGCUUUGUAUGCAUACCGCACCUCUGUAUGGACAUCUACGAGAGCAACUCCUUUCUCCCUGGUCUACGAGAUGGAAGCUGUUUUGCCUAUUGAAGUAGAGAUCUCAUCCCUGCGAGUCUUGAUGGAGUCAAAACUAGAAGAAUCAGAAUGGGUUCGAGCUCGAUAUGACUAGCUAAACCUUAUUGAAAGAAAACGCUUGAAGGCAAUUUGUCACGGACAGAUGUACCAAAACAGAAUGAUCAAGACCCAUGAUAAAAAGGUGUGACUAAAAGAAUUCCACGAAGGGGAACUUGUACUAAGAAAAAUCCUCCCGAUACAAAAAGACUUACGAUGAAAAUGGUCACCAAAUUGGGAAGGGCCAUACGUUGUAAAAAAGACAUUCUCGGGAGGGGCUCUGAUUCUCGUUGAAAUGGAUGGGAAAGAAUUACCUAAUCUAGUGAACUUAGAUGCUGUGAAGAAAUAUUAUGCCUGAAAAAAGAGAGGAAAAAAUCAAGAUGAAAACCCAAAAAGGGCGUCUUGAUAAAACAAAAAGGAUUAGGAUGAAAACCCGAAAAGGCGUCCUAAUGAAGCAGGUUAGAACUUAAGGAGCAAGAUGACUUGAACGGGGAGUCGAAUGGCGAGAUUACAAUAUUUGAAGCAUUCUCAGAAGCUCAAAAUCUUCUACACAGGAAGCCAAGCUCGAAAAGAUCCUUCACGAAGAAACGUGGAGAAGUUAAUGCGUUGAAUAUCUACAGCCUUUGUGGCCAUUGAAUUUGCUUUCCUUUCUUUAUGAUGCUUUCUUUAUUUAAAUUACUCUUUGUUAAUUUUCUUUGUUUGUUGUUUUUGAAAAGAAUAUGAAUGUGAGGUAUUUAUUUCAUGCAUACUGUGCCAUUGUCAAGCAUCUUAUGGUUUGGUUCGUUUAAAUGAUAAAUAGUAAAAUGACAUACUCUAAAACAAAAAGAAUGUUGAGCAUUACCUGGAUGAGAAUUUGAUAAAUACAAGGACCCUGAAGCAAGAAAAAAGUUCAACAGGGGGGUAGGAAUAUGGUAUACGAAAAUGUGGGUUACUCACAGAACUUGAAGAUGAGUACAAAACUGGAGAGAAAAGUCAAGAAUUGAGAAAAUGAAUGCGGACUCUCACGAAAAUCAAAAGUGGGGCACGUGACAAACAGCCUAGGGUGCAUGGCAUGAUCAUGUAGACACAAAAACUUUUAGGACAAACACGUGCAUAUCAUAAUAACAUCAUACAUGACAUAUACAGGUAUACCAGUAGAGCAAGGAAUAUUAGGAGAAAGCUACACAGAAUCAAUGAAGAGGAAGGCUUUUAGUUUCACCUGAUGUUUUUUGAAACCUUGUUUCUUUCAAGAAAUAUUUUUUAAUUUCUGUUUUUUUCAAAAGUCAACUCAUAUUGCGAGAGGUGAGUUGAGCCUCGGGUCACAUACCGAGGUAUUUUUUUAAAUUCUGUUUUUCAAAAAUCAACUCAUAUUGAGAGAGGUGAGUUGAGCCUCGGACACAUGCUGAGGAAUUUUUUUUAAUUUCUAUUUUUUUAAAAAAACUCUACUCAUAUUGCGAGAGGUGAGUUGAGCCUCGGACAUAUACCGAGGUAUUUUUUUAAAUUUCUGUUUUUCAAAAAUCAACUCAUAUUGCGAGAGGUCACUUGAGCCUCGAAUACAUGCCGAUGUAUUUCUUUUAAAUUUCUGUUUUUCAAAAAUCAACUCAUAUUGCGAGAGGUGAGAUGAGCCUCAGGUCACAUGCUGAGGUAUUUUUUAAAAUUUCUAUUUUUUUGCAAAAAUCAACUCAUAUUGCGAGAGGUGAGUUGAGCCUCGGACACAUGCCGAGGUAUUUCUUUUUAAUUUCUGUUUUUCAAAAAAAAAAUCAACUCAUAUUGCGAGAGGUGAGUUGAGCCUCAGGUCACACGUUGAGGUAUUUUUUUUAAAUUUCUGUUUUUUUCAAAAAAUCAACUCAUAUUGCGAGAGGUGAGUUGAGCCUCAGACACAUGCCGAGGUAUUUCUUUUAAAUUUCUGUUUUUCAAAAAAAAAUCAACUCAUAUUGCGAGAGGUGAGUUGAGCAUCGGGUCACACGACGAGGUAUUUUUUAAUUUCUGUUUUUUUUUUCAAAAUCAACUCAUAUUGCGAGAGGUGAGUUGAGCCUCAAGUCACAAGUCGAGGUAUUUUUCAAUUUCUAUUUUUUAAAAAAAAAAGGAAUCGCACGCCAAGCUUUUCUCGAUUUCUAUUUUUUAAAUAAAAAUAAAAUUUUGGAUAGUCGAACAAAAUUCAGUGCUUUUAAAUCUUUGCUCUAUCCUUGUUUCACAGUGAUGAGCAAAGAGGGGCAGCUGUAAGUGUAAGGCCUAAUAUUUGCCCGGGCCCCCAAACCAGAAAUAAAUAAACAAAAAAUAAAACCAAAUUAAAAGCAAUAAAAAUAUAUAUGACAGCAGUCCAUUUUUUAAAAAAAAUGUCCAUUACAGCAGGCCUAAUAGGGCCUAAAUCAACAAUUAAACCCAAACCAAAUCUAGUCUAAAUUACACUAACCCAUUUAGCCCAAACCGAGCCCAGACCCACCGAGCCCCAAAUAACCCAAAAUUACAUCAAACCCAAGACCCGAAAAAUAGCUAAACCUAACCCAAAACCAAUUCGGCCCGAAUGGCCCAACACCAGAAAACCCUAGCAACUUGCAGCAGUUGUCGCGCCGCAAUCGAGCACGGGCCCCUCUCGUGCGUGCGUGCGAGCCUUCGCAAGAGCCAGCGCCUCCGUACAUGCCACAUCCGCAACCUCUGUACACAGUACCUACAAGAAACGGGCAAAGGAGCAGCAAAAAAAGGCAGACCACAAAACGAAAAGAGGUAGAAAUCGGUAGAGAAAAUAAAAAAAAUAGAAAGAAAAAAUUUGUAAAAACCCCAAGAUGUACCCUUUUUCGUUUUGGAGGCAAUCAGAAUAGAAAAAUAAAAAAAAACACAGUGUAAACAAAUUUUCAGAGAGAAAUCAAAAACAAAAUUCCGCAAGGUGAUUUUCAAAUCUUCCUUCGUUUUCCCUAGUUUCUUUGAUUCUUGAGCUCGGCUUUUAGUGUAGAAAUAAAAGGAGAAAGUGGGUUUAGAAAUAGGGGUACCUUGCCGGCGAAUCCUUGCUCUCUCCGUCGUCAUCGGAGCCUGAGCAGAGGUUCAGAGAUCCUUUGGAAGGAUUGAUGAACAGAGCGGCGGAGAAAAAAAGAAAGGGAAAGCCUCAGUUUUUCUUAUUUUUUAUUUCUGCUAGAAUGUUAGAUUAGGGUUUUUUUUAAUGGUAAAGCUUGAAACGCCACCGUUUGUAGCUAAUGUGAUAGCUUCGAAACGGGGCCGUUUAACCCAAACAACCCGUGCGGUGACCCGACCCAGGGGAAGGAUCCGCGCGUUUAGGGUCUGAGGGGAUUUUUGCGCAUUUAGUCCCUAUAUUUUCAUGAUGCAUUCAAAUAAGAUUUUACAUUUCGUCUAAUCUUGGCCGUGCAUUUUGUUUUCGAUCCAUUUGGGUCCGCGCAAAGGCGCUGCGUUUUGGGGAUGGGAAAUAUUUCCCUUUUGGUCCCCAUGUCAUCCGCGUGUCGCGUUUUGGCCCACCAUUUUGCUCCAGUUUUUAUUUUUAUUUUUAGAUUUUGUUUAAUUUCUAAUCUAAUCCCUUUUAAUUUAUGUUAACAUUUUAUAAAUAUCCUUCCUGGGAUUCAUUCCUUAAUAUUAUAAAUAUUUUUUAUGAUCUUAUCUUAAUUUAAUUUAUACACCUUCUUGUUGUUUUCACGCAUGUUCGUAUAUAUGUAUAUAUAAUCAAUUCCAAAAUUUCUAACAAUAAUGCUUUAUAUUCUUACACAUAUACAUAUAGUAUUUUAAUAGUAUACUUACACAUAUAAUAGUAUAUUGUUAUUAACUUCAAAUGAUAAUUUUUUAUGCAAAAGCUUUGUUCUUUUAAGUUUGUUAUUUUAUUUUAUUUAACUUUUAUAUAUAUUAUUGUUGGGUACAUACUAUUAAUUCUACUAGGUUUAUUUCACAUAAAUUAAAAUGUAUAUAUUAAUUUCAGUUGUUUUGCUUUUAUUUUACUACGUUUUAUUUCUUUGGUUUUUUUAAAAUCCUUCAUUAUAUUUUAUAUAUCCUUACUAAAUUUGUAUCAAAUAUUUGUGUUAUUUGUUGUUAUCACUCUUUUUUGUUAUCUCAUUUUUAUUGAUUAUGAAUGUAUGAGCUGCUUAAAUUUUUAUGAAUGUUUGUAUAAUAUGAUCAAAAUUGAUACUGAUAUUUGCUUUAUUAGUUUAAUUGUCACUAACUUAAGUUUAAAUUUUUAUCAUCUUUUAUAUUACAUAUGUCAUUGAUUAAUCAUAUCCUUUUUGUGAAAGUUUAUUUUUUAAAGCUUCUUAGUCGUUUUAUUUUACGAUCCUAAAAAAGGGAGCUUGGUGUUCAUUUUCCAGAGAGAAACGUGUCCUAACUUACUGGGCUUCGAUUCUUCUCGAUAAUAUUAGACAACCAAGUGCCCAUUUUUAUUAAAGCCGUUCAAUUAUUUAAAUAAAAUUCAUAAGAUUUCAGAAUGUUAGAUCCUAACUUAUUGGAUACGACAUUUUGGUAUCUCGACUUCAAAAAUAAAGGCAAUAUUUGAUGUUUAAGAAUUUCGAGAAAAUUGAACCAUAACUUACUGGGUUCGGGUUUCCCAAUUGACUUGAAUAAUCAACUAUCCUUCUUAAAACACAUGAUUUUCUUUAAAGGAGAACAAACUUAAUUUCGAAGAGCGACUAUCGCGCUCUAACUUACUGAGCGUGGCAAUCUAUCUCUUUGAAAUAAGUGAGUCUUAUCACUCAUUUAAAUUUUCUUUUUAAAUGACCCUAUUUUAAAAUAUUUACAAAAUUUCGACAUUAAGACAUUAAACAAUCAAUUCGGUACCAAUUUUGGGCGUUACGAAGGUGCUAACCCUUCCUCGUACCCGAACCUAUUUUCUCAAAUCUCGCAGACCUAAAAUUUAUUUUUAAUGGUGAACCGAUUACACCUUAAUAAAAAUUCGGUGGCGACUCUCGUUUUCAUUUUAAAAGUCGAUCCACAUUUUUUUAAAUUUAAUUUAAAAGUGGUUUCGAUAGUAAGCACUAAAUUUUCUCUGGGUUUUGUCGUGUUUAAUUUUUUUUUUAAAAUUCAAAAAUUCAAAAAAUUAUAUUUUGACCCCUAAACUUCUUGAAAUCAUAUUUUGACCCCUAAAUUUUUCUAAAAUUAAAUUUUGACCCCUAAAAUUUUUGAAAUUACAUUUUGAUCCAUAAAAUUUUCAAAAUUACAUUUUGACUCCUAAGUUUUCUCAAAAUUAUAUUUUGGCCCCAGAAGUUUUGCUGCGUUUGCAAUCUGGUCCUUCUGGCAGCCAUACUUGAUUUGCGCACCUAAUCCCCACGAUUUCCGGCCACCGGCCUAGGGUAUGGCCUCCCUUCUCCCUAGCAACCUGCCACCUGCAAAAAGAAGCAAAGAAAUCACUAUAAAAUGGGUUUAAAACCCCAAAAUCAAGACCCCCCACAAAACGAAAAAGAAAAAAAAGAGAGCUUUUUCGAAAAAAGAGAAGAGAAGAGAAAGAAAAGAAAAAGAAAAAAAAGAGGAGAAGAGGAGAGCCUUCGACGGCGGCCCAACGGCAGAGACGACGACAGCGGCGACGUGAAAGAGGCGGCGGGGCAAGCUAGCGUUUUGAAAAAGAAGAAGGAAGAUGAAGAAAAAGAAGAAUAAGAAAGUAAAUAAAGGGAAGGAAAAAAGGAAAAUAAUUUUUUUUAAAAUAGUCGGGUUGAUCGACAAAUAAUUUUUUUUAAAAUAGUCGGGUUGAUCGACCCGACUCGAAUCCGACCCGCACCUGACCUGAGCAGCCCACCAGCAGCCCCAACCCCCCCAAAAAAAAUAUAGCAGCAAAAAAGAAAAAAGCAAAAAAAAAAAAAACAGCUCCCAUAGCAGGCCUAGCAGGCCAGCCCAAGCGCAGCCCCAACCCAGCGCCAGGCCCAACAGCAGGCCAGCAGGCCCAUCCCAGCAUCAGCAGGCCCCCAGGCCCGUUCCAGCAGCAGGCCCAACAGCUUGCCCAGCCCAGUCCAGAAUAAAGGAAGGAAAAAAAGGAAAAAAGAAAGAAAAAAAGAAAAAAAAAGAGAAAAGAGAAAAGAAAAAAAAAGCAAAAAAGGUCGUGUAUUCCGUUCAUCAAGCUCGUAUUUUCUAGUUUUUGGAAAUUUUCUUUUUUACCCACUUUUAAUUUAAUUUACGUAUUUUUAUGACAUUUCAUCUUUAAUAUUCUUGAUUUUUUUAGCAUUUUUUAUACUUCGUAUUUAAUUUUAUUAUUUUUAAUUUUCAUAAAUAAGGCGACGAACCGAUUUAACAUUAAGUCGUAUAUUUUCAUCGCUAUGUUGGGUGAAUAUAUUGGGCUCGUGUUAAAUUCGGGACGCCCUUUUAAAAAAAUGAAAAACUUAAAAAUUCUCGUGUUUUGAAAUAAAAUAUCUAUUUUUGUAAUUAUCGGUAAAUUUAUCAAAAUUUUGUCUUUAAAAAUGUAUAUAGUACGAUAACAUGUAAUUUAUCAAAAUUUUCGCGUUUUAAAAAAAUUCGUGUUUUCGUAUUUUCAACAAAUUCUCGUGUUUUAAAAAAAAUUCUUGUGUUUCAAUCGGAUCACAAUUAAAUAUUAAAUUGAACUUGUAUUUUUGAAAAUUAAGACAACACGCACUUAACGAGAUACCAAUUUUGGGCUUCGCGAGGGUGCUAAUACCUUCCUCGCACGUAACCGACUCCCGAACUACAAUUUUCUCUGGAUUUUUUAACGUGGAUCUAAAAUUGACUCUUUUAAAGAAAAUUUCAAAAAUUUAUAUUUUAAAAAGAGAAUUUAAUAGGUGACCAAUCACACCUAGAAAAAAAAGAUCGGUGGCGACUCCCUUUUUUAAAUAAAAUCGAGACUCUGCUUUUAAAUUUUCCAUAAUCACUUUGACUAGCGCCCGUGCGAAAAUUUUUAGGUCGCUACAAAUUUCUUAAUAUUUAAAAUAAUAUUUUUUAUUUACUCCAAAAUUAUAUAUUGUACCGAACCUUCCGUUCGAAACAAUACAAAAAAUUAUGAUAGAAUACAAAUAAAUAUGAGAAAGUACAAAAAAUAUAAGGAAGUACCAAAAUUAUGAGAAAGUACCAAAACUUAGAUGUAUAAAAAAUUAUGAGAGAAUACCAAAAAAAAAAUGAGGAAGUAGCAAAAAUUAUGAUCGGAUACCAAAAGUUAUGAGGGAUAGCAAAAAAUAUGAGGAUGUAAAUGUAUGAGGAUACAUAAAAAAUUAUGAGGGAAUACUAAAAAAUAUUAAAAAGUACGAGAAUUCCAUAAAACAUGAGGAAGUAUAAAACAAUGAGGAUGUACCAAUAAAUUUGGGAAAGUACAAAAAAAAUAUGAGGAUGUAAAAAUAUGAUGAUGUACCAAAAAUAUGAGAGAAUACAAAAAAAAAAAAAAACAGGAGUGAAUACUAAAAAUAUGAAGAAGUACUAAAUAUUAUGAGAGAAUAUCAUAAAACCUGAGGAAGUACCAAAAAAUGAGAAAGUACAAAAAAUUAUGAGAGAAUACACAAAAAAUAUAUGAAAAUGUACAAAAAAUUAUGAGGAAGUGUAAAAAAUUAUGAGAGAAUACCAAAUAACAUAAGAAGAUACCAAAAAUUGUGGGGAUACCAAUUUUUGAUUUGUCUCAAUAAUUUUUUUCAUUUAUUUAAAUUUUUUUAAAUUAUCAUGAAAUAUAAUUUUUUCUCUGUACCAAUUUUAGCAUUAAAAAUUAUAAUUUAACAAUUAUAUUUUUUUGCUACAAAGUCUAAUGAAAUUUCUUAAUAUUUAAAAAUAAAUUUUUAUUUGCUCCAAAAUUAUAUCUCAUAUCAAACCUCUUUUCGAAACAAUACCAAAAAUUAUGAGGAGUUACCAAAAAAUUGGAGGGAAUACUAAUAAUUACAAGUAUAUACCAAUUAUUAUGAGAAAAUACCAGAAAUUAUGAUAUACCAUUUAUGAACUUGUAGCUUAUUCAAUAGGUAGCUAAGAAGCUCACAAUAGAACCUCCGUAAUUCACAAAGGUGACAUGUAAUAUUUCAUUUUUUAGUGAUAUCGAAAAUAGUGAUUUUGGGACUACAAUUUCAAUGUGUCAGUCUAUAAAUAUUAAAUAAUUAAUAAUAUUUACGAAGUCAUCAAGGUUGUUAAAUUCUGGUGAAGAAAUUUUAAUGUUUAGUUGAUUAAGUGGGUAAAAAGGAUUAAAUUGUGAUGGAUGCAGAACUUGAUGUUUAAUUAAUUAAAGGGAUUUGAUGGAUUAUAAGUCAAAUGAGUUGGGUCUAUGAAGUAAUUAGACCAUAGUGGAUAUUGAUGGACGAUUAAGGACUUUUAAGAUGUUAAAUGGUAUGUUUAUUUACAAGGGUAAAAAUUGUAAUUAGUAUAAUUAAACUAAGGAAUAAUAAAAACAAAAUUUCUAUCAUCUUCUAAAAGGGUUCACCGCCGAAACUAAGAGGAAAAUCUCCAUUGUUGGGAGUUCUAAGUCCGGCCAUUAUAAAUCCCUUGCAUGUAAGCUUGUUUUAAUUAGGUCUAGCUAGCCUGUAAACUGUCAAAGUUUUUGAAUGUGACCAUUGAUGAACCCUUGUUGGUUAUUAUGUUAAAGUUUUAAUUUAAAAUAAUGGCUGUUGUCCAAGAGGAAAUUGUUAAAUAAUUUUUUAUGGUUUUUGAGCUAGAGCUAAUUUGUUAAAAUGUUAAAAGUGAAUAUUGAGUUAUUAUGAACGGUAUUGAUAUAGAUAGAUAUUCUGCCUGUUUGAGUAUUUAGCAAAUUUUACUGACUUGGAGAUUUUGAAAUUAAGGUCGAAUUGUAUAUGAUACUUAAUUAAAACCCUGAUAAACCUUAAAUCAUUUUUCAAAUCUUGGAUUGCUAAAUAAAAUCGAUUUAAUUAAUGAAUGUUUUUCUUAAAAAACAAAAAGAAAAGUGAUUUUCAUACAAAUCAACUAAAAUAAAAAGAAUGGUUUUACAGUAUCACUCCGGUAAUCAAUGUAAUGUCUUCGAUUUAGCCAAAAUUUCUAGGUCGGGUUAGGGGUGUUACAUCUGGUAUUGCGAUAUCCAUGACAGUCUCAAAAUGGGAAGUUCCUUUGGAUGUUGGGUAUCGUGAUACCAUUAUAGGUGGUCUCCAUUCUCUUCAUUUCAGCACGUUCAGGGAUAUCACGACUUCCAUGCAUUGAUAUUGCAAUACCCCUUCUCAGUGAUGUUCUUACUCACAUUCAGACCACUUUUGACUCUCUACAACACUCAACCAACCAUUAAAGUCCCUAUGAUGCAAUUGGCCAACUUGAGUCUAAAAAAUGGGAUUAAAGCAUGUUAAACACUUAUUAAAACACAAAACUAAAACUAAGUAAAAACUACGAAAAAGACAUUCAAAUUACUCGAGAACAAGCUCAUUAAGUGUAACGGAAUAUCUAAUUUGACGUAUCAAAUUACGACAAAUAAAAAAAAAGUACAAAAAAAACUAUAAGGAAAUAUAAAAAAAUUGUAAGGGAAUGGGUGAUACAGUGGGUGAAUGAUCUUAGUUGCCAACAUAAUGAAUUGGUGGAUUCCGUGAACAAAAAUAUGGUUACAGUAUGGCAAAUAUGAAAACACAGAAAUCAAGCAUGUUUUCCAGGUACCAAACCAAAUCCUACUAAAGUCGCUAUUAUUGGUUGUCCGUAACCAUGGCAUAUCAAUUUGCUAACAAUUAAAAAUAAGUUAACAACAAGCCAUCGCUCGACAGUAAGUUGGUAAGUGAUGUCGAUCACACUCCCACGAUGAAUCCCCUCAUGAAUGCUAGGAAUAAUUGUAGCAUUGGACUUUGGUUCAUAGUCAAUCAUAAAACUGAUGGUAAAAAAUAUUAUGGAGGUUCAUGUAUUAGGAAUUGAAUUGCAUUUUUUUUCAUCUACUCAGUUAAGGGCAAGCUAAUCAUUGUACAUUAGAUUAAAUAGUAAAUUAGUUAUUUUGUUAAAAAAUUCAGUCAUUUGUACUGUUAAAUAAAUUUUGAAAAUCUGAUAACUAAAAUAUAAGUUUAAAUAAAGUUUAGGGACUAAUGAUAUAGUUUAUGUUUUUUUCUUUACCAAAAGGGCUACUACUAGCUAAAACAAAACCAAAUUACAGGACACCAUUUUGCAUACGAGAAACGCACAAAAUGUCAUCCAGUACUAGCUGUUCCACGUUCCAGUUGAGGGUAUGGCAACCUCCAUCAACCCAACAUCCAAGAGCGAUGAUAACUUUGCCAUAAAAUCAGCUACACGGUACACAUGGGAUAUACAGACCUCCCAUUGUCUGCUACCCUAAUACUGCGUAAAAGUGCCAAAUCUGCAUGUUAUUUAAUUUCAAAUUUUCUAGUUUGCCAACUCUAAAGAAAACAUAUUUGAUUAUAAUAUUUUUUGAAAAUGAGAAUAUGUGAAAAUUUAAAAAAAUAUGAAACCUUGUUUCUAUUAUUUUCACUAAAAAUACUAUUCAUAACAUUGGAAAAAGUGAAAAAUAAACUUUAAAUUUAAUUAAUAAAUUCACCCAAUUCAAAACAGGUAAACAAAAUAUUUUUUUCAAUAAUUUUUAAAUUUUGAGUCCAUAUAAAUGUAAACAAUUUUAAUUAAAUUUCUCAUUUUUGUAUCAAAUAUGUUUUCAGAUUUUCAUUGUUGAAAACAUAUUUUAUUUUUUUACUAUAUUUUAAAAAAUAUUUUUUAAAAUAAAGACAUUUUCGAAAACCAAACUGAGCUUUUCCUUUUACUUUUCAUCAUUCUAACUUUCCAACUAGACACUACGAAAAAAACAUUUUCUUAUCUUUCCACUCCUUUCCUUCAAUGUUUUCUUUCAAUCCUAUGAAAAUUCUUAAUAUUAUUUUGAGAAUAGGAUCAAAUCAAUUCAUCAGACAGGAAUUAUCUAGAAUUCUAGUUUAAUAAGAGGGUUUAACUGAUUGAUUUAUGAAUUAGUACGGAAUAAUUUAUUCGACCAAAUUGCAUCAACCGAAAACCGAUAAUCUGACCUCUUCUCCACUAAUUAGAUUUUAAAAACCUUCAAUUGACACUCACAGCAGACUCAGAGAAGCUCAUAUUCUCGACUCAUCCUAUCAAUCUUGUUCUCAACUUUGAUCUGGUAAGUCAAAACCCUUCUUUUUCUACUCUAUAUAUGUGUUUGAAUUUUAUCAAAGUAGUUUAUGUUUUUCCUUCUCUUCUUGUUCUCAUCUUGUUCUUAUCUAAGAAAAUAACAACAAAUAAAUAUGUCCUCACAUGGAGGACAAAAUCUUAAAGCAGUUAAGUAAUUACUAGAAAUGAAAAAGAAUUUUUGUGUUCAUACACAAAUCCAUAUGUUCUUUCUCCAUUAUUUUUUUACCUCUACUUGCCGUUAAAGAGAUUGAACAUAAUUGAUGAUUUCAUCAAGCAUAUCAGCUUUGCCUGUGAUUUUGUUAUACCCUGGUAUAAAUCUUGCAGAUACUUCAUUCUUUCACUGAUUUUCUCCCUUCUAUCCUAUAUAAAUCAACAUAAUUAAAACAUUAUUAUCUAAUGAAAGAGACCUUAUAAAAUAACAAAACAAAUAAGAAAACAUCUCCUGCAAUGCUGUAUUCAUGUCUCAAACCCUCAAAAACUAAAACUAUCAAAAACAAAACAAAGCACAACUAAACAAACGAAACAACAAAAGCUUGUAUAGAAAGGUUCUAAGGUUCCCAAUAUUCUAGAGAAAAGCUUAGCCUAAACUUAAGCUAUAGGCCGAGUCAUGCAUUUCUUUUUAGUCAUAAGUGCUCCCAUGCAGUUGUAUAGGUUGAAUUUUAUUCUAUUUGAGUUGUGAGGUAGACACGUAGGGCAAGGUGGCAAUACAGGUUACAACGUGUCCUACCUCUCACAUGCAUUGGACACAUGGAUAGCUAUUUACCCACUACUUGCAACAAGAAGAAUGGAUGCUGAUUCAGUUGCUGACAUGUUGAAUGCAAAAUAAACUGGCUUCAGACCAAACUUUUUUCAGCUAGUCCAAAAUAUUCAAUAAGAACUUAGUUUUAGAUUACUUUUUGGCUUUCUUUCAUAAUCUGAGAUCAUUAAAGACCAUUGCUCAUAUUUCAAAAUUUAGGGCUAUUCUAGGAAGCUGUUAAAAGUUCAAACUAAUUCAAUCAAGUAAACAACCAACCAAGAACUAACAAAAUAAUACUUCACAAGCAUGCAUGUAUAGCAGAAGUUUACAAGUUAAAAACAAAAGUACUUAACUUAUAAACAAAACAUACCGAUCUAAUAUAUGGUUGCUGGAACAACCAACCAACAAUAGGUAUCCUCUGCAAAAACACUGCCAGUGUUGGCCAAAAACCACUACCAAGUCAUAAGACUAAAAGAAAAUCUCAUUAAUCCCAUCUUCAACGUCCAUAUCUCCUCAUUUGCUGCUAAAUAAAAUUAAAGCAAAAGCCAUGUAAUUAAAAAGUCAAACAUGCCAACACUAAAAACUUUGACUAUACAAAAUUGUUAUUCUAUAUGUUGUUCGAACAUGAAAUAAAACAAGAGAAGCAAUCUAAGUUCUAAUAAUCUCCCUCUUUGACAUUUUGACAAGAUCAACAACAAAUAAUUAACACACAAUCUGAACAAAUCAACGAAAACUAGAAUAUAUCUCCCCCUAAGAAAUAGAACCAUGCUCGACCAUACACUUCCCUUGUCAAUAUGAUUGGUCAUCACAUUGUCCACCAAGCAUACACACACUUUCCAAAGUAAUUUCAAGAAAUAUAGAGCAUGACAAAUAAUCCACACAAGUCCCAUCUAGUAUUAACAAAAACCAAAAAAAGUAGCAUAAAGAGAACACGAGAUAAGCAACAAAUCAACAUCUAUCGUAUCUACCGUUUGCUACACCAGAUCGAUUCUGGCAAAGCAUAAAGCAACAAUCAUUAACAAUCACCAUCCUCAUUUUGAACAUUUGCUGCUACUUCUCCCCCUUUUAGGCAAAGAUGUCAGAGGAGCUCCCCUUACAGAAAUUUUCAAUUUUCAGGACAAAUCUUUCAAUCAAAGUCUGCUACUCUGUUACAUCCUUCUCUAUUCCAUUUUUUUGUUGUAACAGGAUUAGAGACAUAAGUAUUUUCUUCAUUAGCUGACUCAUAUUCCUCAUGUACUUCCAUUCACUACCAAAUUCUACUAGAAACCAAAUAAAAGAACUUUCCAAAACAAAUCCAACCACCAUAUCGAAAAUCAUUCCACAAGCAUAAUUAAAACAACUAUAAUUAGCAUAAUUUGGACUGUGCAGCUUGCAUGUCCAUACAAAAAUGGCGAUGCAAUGUGUAUUGUGGUUGACGGAGGGUUGGGAGUGUGUAUAGCCGAGAGUACAAUAAACCCAUAUGCCUAAAGAGCAAAAUUAAUAGAAGCCAAGCAUUUUUAUUAAAUCAAAGGAAUGAAAAAUUCAAACCUAAAGAGCACAAUAAACCCAUAUGCCUCCAAUACCAUGGCAAUGAUAGGCCAUCCAAUGACAACAAAAAGGAAGCCAACACCAAACGAAAUUGUUCCCUGCAUUCAAUAGCAAUAAAUUAUAAUGAAAACAAGAGAUGAACACACAAUUGCGUCUAUUGAUGUGCAUAUGUGUGAGACAAAGAGAGAGGGAGAGGAUAAAUCAAACCAAAUGAAAAAAAGCGAAGAAAGCACAAAUUAAAUCAAAUGAAAAGAUUCAUAUAUGCGUUAACCAAAUGAAUAGAAGCAAAGAAAGCACAAAUUAAAUCAACAACAAGAAGGAAAAAAAAAAGCUCACUCUUUAGGUCGUUCAUUUCAAAGGAAAAAACUGUUGCAUUCAACACCUGGAUUGGGAAGUCUCCCGUUCACUUCCUGAGAUUAUCUUCACUGCUUUUUCCUCAAUUUUGACCCAAAUUUCCCCAAUCAUCUUUUUUCUAAGAAACUUACAAAUGCAAUAAAUAAUAAUAACUACAACCAAAUUAAUACAAAAUAUAAUUACAACUACAAAUUUAAAUUCAAAUAAACUUGGAUAGGUUCAUUUAUGCAAAGAUGGAGUAAAAAAUCCAUUUAGGCGAAGUCAAGGAUUAAUGUUGAAAAUUCUACAUUAUAAAAGUUAAAUUUAAAUUAUUAAUUUUUAGAAGGGUAAAAGUAUAAUUGUCUCGUCUAACAAAAAAUUCUAAAAAUAAAAAACUUAAAUUCAUGCUCCAUCUAAUAAGAGUAUUACUAUUUACUCAUGUGUUAGUAAAUGAGUCACAAUAAAUUAAUUCGAUUGAUAAUAUUUAGCCAUUCUUAUAACUUAUCUUUGGUAAAGAGAGAAAAUUUUCUGCUUAUGUAAUUUUUUUUGUUUAUUUUGAAAAGAUCUUAUUUUUUUACAAAAGUUUUUACUAUCUUUCUAUUUUCAAGUUCAAAAUCGUAUUAGCUAGUCUUUAUUUUAUACCUAACUAUUGUAAUGCAUGUAUGCAUUUUUCUCGUAUUAUAAAAUGUCUAGAUUCUCCCGUUUAUCCAAGAGAGAUUAAGGCCACUAACUGUCCCAAAUAAAUCUAGUAGUGAACCACAUAUAUAGUAUUUAAAUUAGAGGAUUCGAACUUAAGAUUUUAAAAUUCUCAAAAUUUUAACCUUAUUAAUUCAAUCAAAAUUUCUCCAACCCAAAUAAUUUUUUUUUAAAAUUAUUAUCAUUUUAUCAUGUAUAUAAUUCUUUGAACAGUUGUUUUAUUAUGUAUAUAAAUAGAGAACUCUGGCAGGCUACUCAAAAUCUUCAUUACCUGUGGUCUUAAUUCAUGGUUUAUGUAAUAUAUACAAUAUUUAAUUUUUUAAAAUUGGUAAAAUGUGAUUUACUUGAUUUUUUUCAAAAGUAAUUACUUUGGCUUGACCUGAGUUUUUGUCCAAGAACAUUUGAUUAAAAAAUAAACAAAACAAAACAAAAAUGAAUAUUAUGUAAUAAAUAAGUCCAUCUUACAAGCCCAAAAAUACAAGAAAAAUAAAAAUGAAUAUUAUGUAAUAUAUUUGGCUAUAAAAGCCAUAACAACACAUGUAUCUAUUUAUAGACAAUCAAAAAAGAGAAAUCCAGAAAGAAACUACAACAGUUUUUUUUCCAAUUAUGGUGCCAGUUUUUUUUUGGGUGUGGCUAGAUAAAGAUUAGCAUUGGGAGACGUCUAAUAUAACUUAUAGACUAUAUAUUUGCUCUAUGCUUCUUGGUGAAUGCUAGCACAUUGACUGAAUUAUAUCAAUGACAAUAGAUGGUAAAGACACGAAAUUUUGUGGAGGGAGAUAAUAGCUUAGCAACAAAAGCUGUUUGGGAUGAUGAGAUGACAUUGAUAUUUUGUGAACUUUGCGUGAAUGAAGUCAAUGCUGGUAAUAGACUGACAACUCAUCUAAACUCAAAAGGAUGGGAAAAUGUCAUUGCUCUUUUUCAAGCAAAAACACAAAAAAAUUAUGGAAAACCUCAAUUGAAAAAUAAAUGGGAUACAUUAAAAAAGGAAUGGAGGUUAUGGAGGGAGUUGCUUAAGGAAUCUACAGGUAUUGGAUGGUGUCCAUCUAAAAAGACGGUCGAUGCUACCGAAGAAUGGUGGGCUACAAAAAUACAGGUUAGUGUUCACUUUAUCAUUAUUUUAAUGCAUAAAAUUUAUUGAUAUUAAUAAUUUACAAUUAUAAAAAUCUUAGUAUAAUAUUUAACAUUUAACAUGUUAUGUAGGAAAAUCCUGAUUUUAAAGGAUUUAAGAAGAAAGGAAUUGAACCACGAUUGAAUGAGUUAAUGUGGCAAAUGUUUGGUGGCAUUGUAGCCACCGGAGAGAACGCAUGGGCACCUUCGUUUGGUGUUCUUCCAAGUGGGGUUCCUAUGGGAGAUGAUGCACCUAAUGAGGGAUUUGGUAAUUCAGAUGAACAUAGUAACGAGAAUGAAUGUAUUCCUCCUGAUGAGAUACCAUCAAACCCUUCUCAUGAAAUUCCUAAUCGAAGAAAGCAAACACUUGGGGCUGUAUACGGUAAAGGAAAAAAAUCAAGUUCAAGUAGAAAAUCAUCAAGAAAUACAUUAACUACUCAGAUUGAGAAAUUGUGUGAGAGUAUGGCUAGUCUAAGGAAGUCAGUGAAUGAAAUUAUUUUUCCUCACUCUCAAUAUACUAUUUCAAAUGCAAUGGAUGCUUUGCGUGCUUUGGGAGAUGAAAUUCCAAAAAAAGAUGAACUGUACUAUUUUGCCACCAAAAUGUUUCAAAUACCGGUGAAACGACAAGUGUUUUUGAACUUAGAUCCAGAUGAUAGGGUUUGGUGGCUUCGACGUGAGUAUGCUGAAAAAAAUCCAAUUGCAUCAUUUUCAUCCUUGGUAGCAACAUCCUCAUUUCCCUUCCAACCAUACCAUCAACCACCUCCACCAUAAGCUCCUUAGAAUUAUUAUUGUAAUAUAACUAUACUACUUUUUUAUAUGUAAAACUAAUGUAUGAUACUUUUUAUGUUUGGUAUUUUUAUGCUAUUCUUUUAAUCAAGUUUCUGUGUUGUAUAGAAUGUCACGAGAUUUUAAAGGAUUUAUUUUCAUUUGAUUACUUUUUCAGGUUAUGGAUAAAUUUAACAAUAUGUAUAAUAGUUUUGAUACAAAUUAUGAUACCCCUGAAUUAAGUGAAGAAGCUCAACAAAUAAUAGCCACAAUUGUUACCCAAGUUGAGAACAACAAUUAUCAUGGAGAGGAAGAAUAUGUGUUAAGCAGUGUAUUGGUACACCAUGAAACUUAUUUCACUAUGCAACCGCUUAUGGAUUCAAAUCAUACAGGUCAAAUGUGGGUGGACGAAGUAUUAAAUGGGCACGAUGAUCGUUGCAUGAAUAGUUUUAGGAUGGCAAAAGAUAUAUUUCACAGCUUGUUGCAUGGUUUGCAAACAAAUUAUGGCUUAAAGAAUGGGAAAUUAUUGGCGAUGGAGAAGUUAGCAUUAUCAUUGUACAUUCUUGGAAAUAGAGAAUCAAAUUCAAAUGCAACAGAGCGAUUUCAACAAUCUGGGGAAAUUGUUAGUCGAAUUUUUACUAAUAUGUUGCAUAUAUUUGCUCGAAUGGGAAUAGACACGAUUAAACCCACUGAAGGUCAAUUCGAGGAAGUACCAAACCAUAUUAGACAUGAUACAAGAUAUUGGCCUCACUUUAAGGUAAUAUUUACACUAUCUUUAUAUUUUUAAAAUAUAAAUUAUUUCUAACUUUUAUCUUAUUACUUGUAUUUAUUUUAAAGGAUUGUAUUGGGGCCAUAAAUGGAACACACAUAAAAGCAUGCAUUUCGCCUUCUUGUCAAAUACCUUAUAUCGGACGGAAAGGUGAACCAACUCAAAAUAUUAUGGCGGUUUGUGACUUCAACAUGUGCUUUAUUUUUGCAUUUCCUGGUUGGGAAGGAACAGCACAUGAUAGUAGAAUUUUUUUUUGCAAGCACUCAGAAAACAAGAGUUGAGGUUUCCACACCCUCCACCAGGUUGAACUUUAAUUUUUUAAUUACUUUUUUACAUAAAAAAUAUUAAAAAUAUUAAAUUAUUUUUAAACUUGAUAUUAUGUUUUACUUUUUUUGUAGGAAAAUAUUAUCUUGUGGAUUCAGGAUAUCCACAAAUAGCAGGUUUUCUAGGUCCAUAUAGGGGGAACGAUAUCAUUUACCUGAUUUUCGUCGAGGUAAUCAUCAAGUAUCUGGAAAAAAAAGAGAAAUCUUUAAUCAUGCACAUUCUUCGUUACGCUCUGUGAUUGAACGAACAUUUGGAGUGUGGAAAAAAAUGGCCAAUAUUAAGAGAUAUUCCAAGUUAUUCAUUCAACAAGCAAGUUUUAAUAGUUAUUGCAACAAUGGUUUGCAUAAUUACAUUCGAAGACAUGCUUGGUCAAAUGAUGAGGAUUUUCGAGAAUUUGAGAAUAUACCUGACAUGCCAGUCUCUUCAAGCCAGUUUGACAGAGGUGAAUCGAGUUCUUCUAAUAGAGAAAGUGACCUUGAAAUCACGAUGUUAAGGGAAACCAUUGCAACUAGUUUAAUGAAUCCAUAUUUGUAAAAACAUUUUGUAUCAUAACCUAAUUUCUAGUAAUAAUGAAACUUGUUAUGUCUUAUGUUAUUAUUAUUAUUUUAUUAAAAAUCAUCCGUUUAGAUACUUCAAAAUUUUAUCCAAGUAUAAUGUUACUAUUUCUGAAAAUAAUAUUUAUCAUUGUUAUAAAAAAAUAUUUAACUAUAAAAAAUUAAAAAUAAUUAUCAUUUUAUCUAAUAAAUAAUUUAAAUUUAUUAUAUAAUUCAUUAAAAUAUUGGAAGAUACAUUUUAAUAUUUUAUUAAAUAAAAUUAUAAAUUCACAUAUUUUAAUAAUUUUAAAAAAUUAAAAUAAUUUAAAAAACUUAUAUUAUAUAUCAAUUCUAAUAUGAUAUCCUUAAUAGUCAUUUCUUAGUCUCACCUCACCGCUACAGCUGCGUUUGAAUCCAAACACACACUCCACCAUUGUUUCUAAUCUCACUGCUACAGUAUCUAAUCUCACCGCUACAGUAACUAAUCUCACCGCCACCGCUAUUUUUAACCUCACCGGAAGUAAACACACCGCCCAUCCAAAGUAGUCCUUAGUAGUACAAAACAUAGAGAAAUUAACAAGACAUCAUAAAUUACGUGGUUUAGACUUUAGUCAAUUGUCAAAUCAAUUUUUCGUUGUUUUGGGGGAAACCAAAUUCAUUGAAGUAAAAAAGGGUUCAAUAAGAGACCAAAAGAAAGAAAAUGACAGUACAUUGUGGCUACUUACGGGAAAGGGCCGAAGUACUUGAAAUCUCCCUCUUUUAUGGGUAGAGUUUUAAAUUACUUCUUAUAUUAGUUUAUUAAAUAAUUUAUUGUAAAAAUAUUAUACUAUUGUUUAAAUUUUAUUAACAUUAAAAAAUUAUUGCAUUAUUAAAUAUUUAAACAUUACUUUAAUAAGGUAAUAAUUGUUAACAUUACUUUAGAAAAUUACAAAUUAUAAAAGAAUAAUUAUUAGCAAACUAUUUUAAUUUUUGUUAGUAUUUUACGUUUUAAAAACUAUAAGAAUCAAUGCAGAAACAAGAUUAUAUAGUGAAAUAAUAUUUGAUUUUCUAAUAAUAAUUAAAUUAAAUUAAAUUAAUAAUUUUCUUUUACAAUAUUUUAUUUAAAAUUAAAAUUUUAAAUAUAAAAAAACAGUUCUUUUUAAUGAUAAAAAGUGGAUCUUAAUAUGAAUAAAAAUUGAAUGCAGCUGUAAAUAAAUAUGCAAUUUUUUUAUUACAAAUCUAUUGUUUUUUAAUAACAAAUUAAAAAAUCAUACUUCAACAUAUUUAGAAAUAUAUUUUCUCACAAAUAAACAAAACAAAUUUACAUACACAUUAAAUGUAAUUAGAUUAAAUAAACCACAAAUCAAAUACAUGUAAUGGAAUUAAUAAUUAAAACUGUAUAAAAUCUCCUUGAAAAAAAAAUUAAAACUGUAUAAAAUAAACAUUUAAAUUUAAACCUACAAAAAGAAAAAAAUAGCAGUGAUCAAAUUGAAUGCAAUUAAAUGUAAAUCAGGAUCAAAUUGAAUAAAUUAAAAUUGAAUUAGGGAUACCAUCGCACAAAAUACAGACUACUAAGGACAGAAAAAGAAAAUAUCCCGUUGCAUAAAAAAGACGCAAAUCAUUUUAUGGGCUAAAUAUCAAAACUUUCUCUCUCUUUUUAUUCAAACAAUAUUAAAAAAAACUUUAAAGCCUUGAUUAUCUAAUUAGUGUAACUAUUGAUCUUAAUUUGUUUCAAACAUAUGAAACGUUUGAGAAACAAUCAUACGCCUAAUAACAUCUUUGCACUGCGGGAGGAGAGUCCACCUUGCUUCAAAGUGGUAUGGUCGACAUUUUGUUUGUAGAAACAAUGAUAGGGCCAUGAUCAGAGAAAAAACAAUAGGUAGAUUGAGAAUAAAGAUGUUUGUGCAAUUUUUGAAAUAGUAAUUGUUAGGAAAUGUCAUGUCAAGUCUUUCCUAAACAACAUCAUUUUGUUGCCGAUUGUUUGCCCAAGUGAAAUAGGAGCCUUUAAAACGUAUUUCAAGGAGGAAGCAACCAUCAAGGCAUUGUAGUAAAUCUAAAGCUCCUUUUAAAUUGUUAAAAAGAUUAGACAACUUGUCUUUGUACCAAAUGACCUGAUUAAAGUCACCCAAUACUAUCCAAUCUUUAACAGUUUUGGAGAAAUCCACGAGCUGUUCUCAAACAUGAUGUCUUUCACAUAGUUUAGGUUUGUCAUAAAUGCAAGAAAUAUAGGUUUUUAAGUUAUUAUCCUCCAUGUAGCAAGAAAUGAAGUUUUCAUAAUAGAAAUAACAGUGCACCUAACAUUUUUACUCCAAAAUAAAACUGUCCCCUACUAAAGCCUUUGUGAUUUGUGCCAACAAAAGAUUCAAAGUUCCAUUUAGAUAGUAGGUUUCUAAAAACACAUAUAUGCUCAUUUACAUAACUUAAACAUUUCAAGAUUAUGCUACUUACAUAUAUAUUAUACAACUCAUGUACUAUAAAUCAAAAUAAUCAUUAUAUCCAAAAUACCAAAUCGACAAUUUACUACUUAAAACCGAUUCAAUCCUGGGUACAUGCCACAUAUUGAAACAUAAAGAACUGAUGACCAUUUCUAAGUUGAAAGUUGCAGUUGCUGGAUCAAUCCUCGAGUCUCCGAGAUAUACUAAUACUUGCGCACGGAAUAAACAAAUAGUACGCUGAAUGAUAAAGCUCAAUGUUACUUCCAUUAUUCAAAUCAAUAUAAACGAAAACAAUAACAUGAAAAGAAUAUAAUUAAUGUAUGAUCAAGUUUCAACCAUUUCAAUUACCUUUCAUGUACCAAAUACCAAGAUUAUGCACAAUCUCAUUUUACAAACCAUAUGCAUAUUUCAUAUGUAUGAAUACGUGAUAUACCUAUUUCAUUAACAUUCUAUGUAGAACUUGUACAUUCUACCAUCCUGGUUGGCCCGACAACGAUUGCUUUCACUAUCUGCAUAUUCUACCAUCCCAGGUGGCCCGACAACGAUAGCUUUCACUAUUUGCAUAUUCUACCAUCCUGAAUGGCUCGACAAUGAUGAUUUCCACUAUUUGCAUAUUCUACCAUCCCGAGUGACCCGACUGUAACAGCCCGAUUUCGACUCUAAUUGGACAUAGUGGUUUCGGGACCACAAGUCCGAGUUAAAAAAAUAUUUUAAUAUUAUUUUGUGUGUUUAUUAUGUGUGAAUUUAAUUGUGUGAAAUUUUCGUGUUUUAAUUUUGUCGUUUGAGUGUCUGAUUAAAUAAAAAAGAUUAAAUCGCGUAAAAUGAAAAUUUAGUGGUUAAAUAUGAAAGUGUUUAAUUGUUGUUGUCUUUAUAAUUUGGAGGUUCUAUGAUGCAAUUAGCCCACUAUAUAAGUUAGUGGAUGCCAAUGGUCAAGAAUGACCUUAUAUUAUAUGUUUUGUAUAUUAAUUAUUUAAGGUUAAAUUGGUAAACUAAAAAUUUUGAUAAUAUAUGUUAUAAUAAAACAUAAAAAUAAAAGAAACAUGCAAAAAGGUUCAUCAUUUUAGCCGAAACUUCAAAAGACAAAGAAAAAAAAAGAAAGCUUGGUUCGGCACUUGUAAUCCUUAAUUUAGGUAUGUAUUUUGUUGUGUUUUUAAAAAAUUUUACGUUUUUAAGAUCGUUGCUUCGUGUUCUUCAAAACCCAUGUCUUAAUUUUGUGAAUUGUGAAUAAUUUUGAAAUGUGCCAUUGAUGAAUGCUUGAGUUUUAUGAUGCUAGUAGGUGAAAUAUGAAAUAUAUUUGUUAGAUUAACAUGUAUUGUUUUUGAAUUUUUGAUGAAAUUGAGUAAUUAGGGUUAAAUUGUGAAAAUAAAUUUUUCAAGGGACUAAAAUGCUAAAUAAAUGAAAAUAUGGAAUUAUAUAGACACUAGGAAUAUUCGGCCGUAGGAGUGUAGUUAAAUUUUGUGUAUUUUGUGUUUUGAGCAAAAAGGAUUAAAUUGUAAAAAGUGUGAAAUGUUAGGGGCAAAAUUGUAAUUUGCCCAUUCAUGUAUUUUUAGUCUAAAUUGAAUAGAAUGGUGUUUAAAUAAGCUUAAUUUGAAUAUGAUUUAGAUCAAGAAUUAAAGGAAUCGGAUUUGGAUUGGGGAAAGACAAAAGUGGUCGAGUAGCCGAUUUAACAGUCAACGAUAUCCGAGGUAAGUCUAUUAGCAAUUUAUUGUUAUUAACUCAACAUAUAUAUAUAUAUAUGUGUGUGUGUAUAUUUAUUAUAUAAUUGAUGAGCUAUAAUUAAAAGUAUAUAAAUUGAAUUUAGUUAAUAUAAGCAUUUAUAUAUGUAAAUAAGAAGUUCGAAUAAGUAUGUAUAUAUAAGUAUAAGUUUUUUGGAGUUAAGUGAAAGUAUGGAUGUUAUAUUUGUAUUUAUAAUGUUCGAAUAUAUAUAUGUAUAUAUAUAUAAAUAAGUUUUUGAAUUUAGUUGAAUUGUGAAUGUUAUAAAAAUAUUCAUACGGUUCGAAUAAGCAUGUAUAUACAUUUUUAUAUUGAAUUUAAGUAUGAAAUUAUAUAUGUAUAUGUUAGAUUCGAAUAUGUAUAUAUGUACAUGUAUAAGUUAUUGUAUUGAAAUUAGAUAUGAAGUUAUAUAUAUAUGAGUAUGAGGUUCGAUUGUGUAUGAAUAUAUAUAUAAGUUCAUGAGUUGAAUUAUAAGUAUAAAUUAUAUAUAAAUGUAUAUGAGGUGCAAAUAUGUAUGUAUACACAUGUAUAAUUUUUGUAUUGAAUCAAAGGUAUGAAAUUAUUAGCUUAGAUUAUUUAUAAUAUGUUUGAAUGUAUGAUAUGUUUUCUUUGAAGUGAAUUUAAUGCCAUAAAAUGUGUAUGUAUUUAAGUAAUUCGAAUGUUAAAUGUAUAUUACUUAGGGUAUAUUAUAAAUUUAAUAGUAUGAUAUUAGUAGUAGGAUUCAAGAUAUAAAGUUAUAUACAUAAAUUUGUUAGGUUGAAUCAUGAAGUUAUUGAGCUAGAUUUGGUGUUUGAAUUUCAUGAACCUAUGUGGUUCAAAGAUAUAGGUUAUAAAUUUUGAGCUGAAUUUUUAUGUAUGGAUUUAUAUACAUAUAUAGUUCGAAUAUGAAUUACAGCUUCUUUGAACUGAAAUUAUUGUUGUGAAUUGUACAAGUAUGUUUUAAGUGCAUGAUUGUUACGUAGAAUUGAAUAUAAUUCAAUUCCAACGGAGAAACGACUAUCGGAUUUAUUGCCAGUGAAAUUAUUCAGACUAUACGUCUAGCAGGCUAAGUGCCGGUGAACUGAAUCAGGCUAUAGGCCUAGCAGGCUAAGUGCCGGUGAACUGAAUCAGGCUAUAGGCCUAGCAGGCUAAGUGCCGGUGAACGGAAUUAAACUAUAAGCCUAUCAGGUGAAGUGCCAGUGAAUCUGUUUAAAUUAAGUGAUUCUAUGCAUUGGGCAUAAAUAUAUAUGAUUUUGUUUAUAUGAAAUGGAUAAAUUUAUGAACAUUGUUUCAAGGUGGUUGAUGAGUAUAUAAUCGUUCGAAUCCUUGUGAAUAGUGAGUAUGUAUAUAUAUAUCGGUUGUCAUGAAAUUGUUGGAUAUAUAUAUGUAUAUAUAUGUAUGCAUUCGGCAUAGGUGGGUAUAAGUGUAUAUGUGCAUUCGGCACUUAUAGUUGAUAAGUAUAAAAAUUAUGCUUUUGGUAUAUGUAUUUGAACAAUUAUAUUUAAAUGGAUCCGAUGAAGUGCGAACAAUAAGUACUAUAGAAAUCAGUACAUGCAGUUAAUGAUUAUGUUAGUAAAUUGAUUAUAUGCAUAUAAUGUAUAUACAUUUGUCCGUUUAUGUGUAUUAGAUAAAUACACAUCCUUUUAGAUUUAAACAAAAUGACUUAAUAUAGCAAUGUUUGAUUAGUAAUUAUAAUUGAUAAUUGUGAUUUCAAUAAAUUUACUUAAAGAAUUAUAUGAUUCUUUUAUAUGUAUUUUAGAUAUGCUAUAGACUUACUAAGCUAUAAAAGCUUACUUUGAUUGUUUUUGUCCAUUUGUUUUUAUAGAUUUUGGAGACGCGUUACGAGCUCGGGGAUCAUCAGCAUAGUCUAUCACACUAUCGACUACUUUUGGUAUUUUGUUAAAUAUUUGAACUCAAUCUUAUGGCAUGUAUAGGUUUGAGUACGAUGUUAGUUAGAUUUUGAUUGUAAAUUAUAAAUAGCAAUGCGAAAAUGAUUUAAUUUUCAUGUUUGUGAUCAGUUUGGUUUUAAAAAUGAUUGUGUUUGUUCGGUAAUGCCUCGUAACCCUAAUUCGGCGACGUAUACGGGUUAGGGGUGUUACACCGACAAUGAUGGUUUUCACUAUUUGCAUAUUUUACCAUCUUGGGUGGCCCGACAACGAUGGUUUUCACUAUUUGCAUAUUCUACCAUCCCAGGUGGCUCGAUAACGAUAGUUUUCAGUAUUUACAUAUUCUACCAUCUUGGGUGGCCCGACAACAAUGGCUUUCACUAUUUACAUAUUCUACCAUCCUGAGUGGCCUAACAACGAUGGUUUUCAAUCACUAUAUCGAUGACUCCAUGGCAUGCUAACUAAACUCGACUCUGCCCUAAACAGUUAGUAGGGUAAUCACUGAAUCAAUACACAUAAUAAUCACACAUCACAGUUUAUAUCAAGCUCGUUUGUGCUAUAUUCACUUCAUUCCAAUUCUCGACAUUUAAUGUCAUCAUGUAUAAAUUGAUUCAAAAAGCAACAAUACAUUUACCUCAAUAGGUAGAUUUGCAACAAUCACAUAUAUGUAUUUAUGUAUUGAACUCAAAUCAUAAAAGUACAAAUCGAAGCUUUUGUCACUCGUCUACGACACUCACUUUUCUUUUCUCUCAAGACGGCGCGACGUCAUCUUUAGCUUUGUUCGAUAAUUCAAUCAUAAAUCAAUUUCAGUUUACAUCCAAUUCACAUUCAAAUACAGAGCCAAACAUAUUUUACAUUUUAUUCAAUUUAGUCCCUACAUUCGAUAGAUUCGUAUUUUUCAAUAUCUAACACCGGAUCAAAAUUUGAUUUCACAUGCUUUCAUUGGGGAUACUAUACUUUUCAUCUGCAACAUAAUCUCAUGAAAAUUUUCAAUUUAUUCAAUUUAGUCCUUAAUGUUACAAAAUUAUCUAACAAGCUUAACUUAGUUUCCAAUUUAGUCCUUAACAUAAUCUAAGUUCACUAUCUAGUGACCUCUUCAAUUUCAAGCCCAAUUCAUCAAUUUCUCUCUAAUGAAAACUUUUAAACAUCUAACAAUUUAUUAAAUUAACACAUGAGCUAGCUAAAUCAAGCUCCCAUGAUAAAAAAAAUCUAUAAAAAUUUUGAAGAAUAAGACUUGAUCACCUUAGUUAAUUUGGGAUAAAAAUGAAAAUGAAGGCUUGGAUAAUUUUUUUCAUUAUUUUUAACUUGCGACGGCAAAGUAAGAUGGAAAAGAUGAUGUUGGGGAUCGACCCGAUUCAGCAAUGAAUAAGUAAAAAUAGCGAAAGAAAUUAAAAAAUUGAACAUACAAAUUUAACAUGGAAAAACCCCUCCAAAGAGGAUAAAAAACCACGAGCAAAGAUAACUUUACUAUAAUGGUAAAAGAACGAAGUGUACAAAAAAUAGAGAUAAAAAAACUAAACUCCGAAACCCAAAAAUAAAGAACCCUCAAAACGUAAACACAAAAUUCUCCAAAAGUGUCAUGAGUUCGAAUUUCUAAUAGGUGUGUUUUCUAAGGUUGUAAAAGAACCUAUUUAUAGGCUAAAUUCGUAGGUCAAAUAAUAAUAAAAUAAUCUAGACUAAUCAGAGUUUGAUUGAAACAAAUAAACAAAGUUUAAUUGGAAGAUUAUUUCUCAAAUUUGACUGAAAUUUGAGUCAUACUCAACAAAUCUCCACCUUGACUCGUGUUUCCACAAAACCAUCUUUGCUAAAGCUGGCCACAGGCCUAUCUUGAACUAUACAGGUAAUUAAUUGAGUCGAAUCUGUGCUUAGAAGCUGGAAGACUUCUAGCCUUCGACUUGUGUACUGCCAAAUCAAAACUAACCCGGGUCUGAUUUUCACGAACACAGUGCCCUAACUUUUCAAAACCUGUAUCCAAAAGAGAAUCUCUAUUAAAUGAAACGAUCAUACAUUUUUCCCUCCCAUGACCAAGUUGUCUCUGCUCCAAACGAGUUAACUUCGACUCCGUAACGGAUGAGGGACGUUCAAUUUCACCAGUCACUGUAGAACCUUCUAGAAUAUAAAGGUUGUCGAUCCUUUUACCUUUUAACAAAAUGAGAGCCCCUUGGGACGCCUUAAUGCUGCUCAACUCGAUAUUGAUUCUAUAACCUUUCGAGUCUAAAAUACUCAAGGAGAUGAGAUUCUUUCUUAAAUCAGGUACAUACCUGACAUCUGACAGUGUCCUGAUAGUCCCAUCGUACAUCCUAAUUUUGACAGUACCAAUACCGAUUACCUUACUGGAUGAAUCGUUUCCCAUGUGUACAAAUCCACCUUCAACCGAACUAUAUGUAGAGAACCAUUCUUUGUUAGGACACAUGUGGAAAGAACAUCCCGAAUCCAGAAUUCAUUCAGACGUAAUCUCAAAGCUUUCGCUCGUUGACACUAACAAGAAAUCAUCACCACUUUCGUCGGAAAAAUUAUCACCAACUACAUCUUCCUCGUUACUCUCAACAUCCCUUUUAUUUCGCAGUUUUUAACAAUAUGCUUUGACGUGACGUAACUUCUUACAAUAUCAACCUUUUUGUCUUACUUCUUUGAUGUUACCAAAAUGAAAGCUUGUCUAUCUGCCUUGAUAUCCGAACCAAACUCAUUAUCAAAUUUGUAUUUACUCAACAAAUGACCCUUUACAUCCUCGAACGAGAGUUUGUCUCUACCAUAAAUUAGGGUCUCCCUGAAAGUCUUGUAUGAAGGGGGUAAAUAGCACAAUAAUAGCAUAGUCUAAUCUUUACUGUCAAUUUUAACCUCAACAUUCUUUAAAUCAUUUAAAAGGGUAAUAAAUUGAUUGAUGUGAUCUCUAAAAAACUCACAUUCGUUCAUGCGAAAUGUAAAUAGACAUUUAAACACUAAACGGUUAGUUAGAGACUUAGUAUCAUAAAGAGUUUCUAACAUUUUCCACAAUAUGGACGAGGUCUUCUCCAUUAAUACCUCUUGCAAUACCCUAUUCGCGAGGCACAACUAGAUUGCAGACAAUGCCUUUUCAUCAAGCUUUUCCCAUUCUGAUUAAUCUAGAUUCUCUAGUUUUUUCUUGGUAGUGACCUUUUUCAAGCCAGUUUAAACUAGAAUUGCCAUCAUCUGAACUUGCCACAGAUUAAAAUUUGUGACACCAUCGUACUUCUCAAUAUCGAACCUUGUUGUUGUCAUCUCUGAAUCGACUGAUAUGUGGAAAUUAAACUAGCUCUGAACCCAUUUAUGGAGCAAAUAACAUGCAAUAAUGAUUCUAUUGUGCACCCUUACAGGAUAGAAUGAUGGACUUCUAAGUAUUCCUUAUCUAAGUUUUAAUAACCCAAAGCAUCUUUCAAUAACAUUACGCGCUGAAGCAUGUUUCAUAUUGAAAAAUUCUUUCGGAGUACUUGGUUGGUAACCCUAACGCUACUUAUUCAAAUGAUAUCUUUGUCCUUUAAAAUGCGUAAGAAAUCCCUCAUAGUUUGUGUAGCCAACAUCAGCUAGAUAAUAACAACCUAUAAAAAAACUAUUUAUCAUGGUUAAUUUCCCAAAAAAGUAUGAUCUUAAAAAUUAAUUCAAAUUCCUCUAAUUUUGCACUUUACCAUGAAGAACUUUUAGUCCAUGUCACCUGUUAAUGGCAUCUCAAAGAACUCAUCCAUCAGCAACAGAACCUUCCCAACUAGGAAGAACUUAAACAAAAUGCAUAUCAGGUGUACAAACACCAACAUAUUUGUGCUAUGUCACCUUUUCGCAUUCGAUAUCUAGGUCUAUCAACUGUAGGAACCCUAAUCUUGAUGUGGGUUCCAUCUAAAGCACCUAAGCAUUUCUACAUCACAUGUAUAAAACUUCGGGUUAGGAUACUAUAUUUAAAUCUAUAACGAUCUGAUAGUUGGGGUGUCAGAUAGUAAAGUCUGGGAUGCCAUUUCGUAAAACGAACCUGUAAAUAUUUUUAUUUAAAUAUUUAUGAUGUUAGUUAGUAGUGAACUAGAUUUUGAUUAAGUGAAUUUUGAGAAAUUAAGAAUUAUUAAGGUAUAGGGACUAAAUCGCAUAAGAGUUAAAAAUUGAAUUAUAGGUUAAAAAUUAAUAGAUGGACUAAAGUAGUAAAUAUCCAAUUACCUAAGGUUAGUGGACGGUAUUAACAUGUAUGAUAUAUAUGUUAUAUUAAUAAUUAUUAUGAAAUGUAUAUAUACAUAUAUGUUAUUUUAUAAUAAAAACAUAAUAAAAGAAAUAAUAAAAGUUAUAAUAAAAAAAGGAAAGUGGUAACAUGCAAAUUAAAGGGAAAAAAGAGAAAGAAAAUAAGGGAAAUACACAUGGCUUAGGGACUUAGGAGUUCAAGCUCAAAUUGGUUAGUGCAAUUUAGUCUUUUUUUGUAAUUUUUACGUUUUUGGAAUCCUGAUACUUAGGCUUAGUCAACCCGUGUUGCAAUUUUAAGUAUUUUUUAGAAUUUUAGAUGUUACUAUUGUUGUAUAGGUUAAGUAUUAGGGAUUAAAUUGAUAGAUUUUUAAGUUAAAAGUGAAAAAGGACUAAAUAGUGAAGUAAUUCUUGAUUUUGAGUAAUAAGGACUGAAUUGAGAAAAAAUUGAAAUUUAAGGGUAUAAUUUAAAAUAGAGAGUUAAGUUUAGUUUAAAGUGAAAUGAUUAUGAAAAUAUAAAAUUUAAUGUGAAGAUUAAAAAUUAAUCUCGAUUUAAAGACUAAAUUGAAAUUUAAGCAAAUAUUGUGUAAAAAUUGAAAUAUUCAAUGUGGAAUUGAAUUGUGUAGUAUUAAUGUAUUUUAAUUGUUUUAAUUAAAAAGGGGAAGGAUAAAAUCAACGUUAAAUAGCUCAGAAUCCAUGAUUUAUGUUUCUAUAAUCUGAACUAAGUUGUAAAUUAUUACAUUUUGAAUUAUUGCAUAUGGUAAGAAUUGGAGGUGAGAAUUAUUAUGUUUUACAACUGAAUUGAAUUCAUAGUUGAUUGAAUUGGAUUGAUUUGGUAUAUGUUAUAAAUGUAUUGAGUAUUUGGAAAUUGAAAUGAAUAUAUGUUGAAAUAUGAUAAUGCGCAAAUAUGAGAAUUGGAUAUUGGUUGUAUUUGAAGAUUGAAAUGAAACUCUAUUAACUGUAUCGGGCUGAGUCAGAUAUGGUUGGAAUACCAUAGGAUAGGAAGAGUUCACCGAUUUCUUCAACUUCGAGUCGAUGAGGCACUGGAUGCCAAACUGGUGUGUUGGUUGUAUCCAUGUAUCCAUCCAAGUCUGAGUCGUGUUAAUAGGGGUAAAUAAAUAAUAAAGUUCAAUAAUUGAUAUUGAAAUGGCAUGGUAUGUGAAAUGGAAAUGAGAUAGUGAAUUGAAAAAUGAAAGGUGAAAUAUAUUGUGAACAAAUGAAAUAAAUGAGUUAUGUUCUCAUGAAUUGAAUAUGGAAUGAAUAAUGUCAUAAUAUUAGUGAAAUGUGGAUUGAUAUGUGAAAAGUUAUUUAUAUAACAAUUGAUGUAAAUUGAGAUAUUGUUAAACAAAUCCAAUAUGAUAACAUGUGAAAAUUAAGUAUAGUAUGAAAUGAUGUGGUAAUAUGUAUGAAUUUGAAAUAAUGAUAUCUUGUAAUUGUAAGCUUAGACAAUAGUAUGUUGUAUAAUUCAAUUUGAACAUUCAAUAUCAUUAUGACAAUGUUCGGAUUAUAGAAAUAUUACUGAGUUUUACUCAUCGUGUGGUUUUGUUUAACGUGCGCAGGUUAGGUACUUCUCCUUUGAUUACCGACUUAGCAUCCAACAACGAUCUCGAUCUCAAGUGCAAUGAUGUUUACUUUUUGUAAGGGCAUGUACCUAGGAUGUCUUAGUUGGUAGUUAUUUUGUGAAUGGAUUGUAAAUUGAGUUAUAAGUAUAAUGUUGGUUUGAGUAUAUAAGUAUAUGUUUAUGUUUGAAGCCAUAAUUUGGCAUGUAGUUUUAAACCAAUGCUUGUUAGGUGUAAGUGAACUUAAGCUUGAUGUUUUAGAUAGCUAUAUGUUAGGCUAAAUUGAGUGAUUUUGACAUGCUUAAAAUCUUGAUUUAAAUGAUGCAUUAUUGAUAUGUUUUGAUGAUAUAAAAUGUGGUACCAAUGAAGGUACAGUAGUUAGACACCUAAGAUGAUUUUUUGGCAUGUUUUAAGUAUGUUUGAUCAUAUUUUGAGAAGGUUAAAUGAUUGGUUUUUGAGUUGCUUCAUGCCCAAGAAACUAGGAAAUGGUAAACUUGUUGUUUAAGGUACAUUUUGGGUCUACACGGCCAGACACAUGGGCGUGUGACUUGGCCGUGUGAGACACAUGGCUUAGCGACAUGGCCGUGUGUCAUCUGAUGAGUGCUUAGGGUGCAAGUCAGUUAGCAUAUGGCCUGGUAUAUGGGGCGUGUAGGUAUAUUUUGAGAGUUACACGGCCUGACUCACAGACGUGUGACACGACCAUGUGACCUUACUUAGUGAGUUACAUGGGCUGAGACAUGGUCGUGUGUCUCAAGUUCAAAUGUUACACGAGCAAGGACAUGGGCUGGGACACGGCCGUCUGUCCCUAUUUCGAUUGUUACACUGCCUGAGACAAGGGUAUGCGUCUUAGCCAUGUGAGGCACACGACCGUGCGACCCUUGUUUUCAAAUUUUUGUGAAUUUUUCUUAGGGUUUUCAAAUGAAUUCAAAUCGGUCCUAAUUUGUUUCUAAAGUAUUUUUAGGGCCUUGAGGGCUCGAUUUAGGGACGAUAUGUAUAUGUAUGAAUGAUUUAGGUUCUGUUUAUGACAUUGAGUGAAAUUAAAUAUAAAUAUUUUGAUUGUACGAUAAUUCUCAUAACCCUAAUUCGAUGACGGAGAGGGGUUAAGGGUGUUACAUUUAAAUCAACUAAAUUAUGUACGAGCUAUAUAUGGAACUCACUCCAAUACCUAGAACAAUUUCCACCUUGGGUCUGUAGAAUUAACUGUAAUUGACUCUACUUUUUUAAAUAAAACAUCUUGUAAGCAUAUGACGGCAUUUAAAACAUUGUGAUAUAAUCUGCUAAUGAUUUCCCUAGACCUAUUAAAGUGAUGCUUGAUAGCUCGAUUUUUAAGGUGAUGAAAAAUUAUAUGUAAAAACAUUGCCACUUUCUCAUCAACAAGCAUGUUCCUUGAUGACAUCAAUCCCUCUAAAAUUUGUAACAUCUCACAUGGUUUAAAAGAGGUAAUUCUAUUCAUCCUAACUUGUUCAAUACAUGUUUGGUCACUAACAAAUACAAGUCUUUUCACAUAAUCUCGUUUUGCAUAAAGAUCUAAAAUAUAUGAUCUAAUCCUUGGUCUAUAAGUAUGUAGGCUAUGGAUAGCACCCAAUGUAACUAAGAACCAACUCGCAACUGUACACAUUUGCAACCAUACUAUCAAUGUAAGAUCAAUUCUUUUACGCCUCUCACAUUGUACUAUUAAAGGCAGACGAGCCAUUAUUGUAAGAUAUUAAAGUGUUACAUAUCUUCAAAUUAUAGUAAAAUGAUCACAUUUCUUCAAUACUAAUUUUAAUAAUAGUAAAACAAAAUAAAAAAAUUAAUAACCAAAGAACUUAUAGUGAUUUAGUGAAUACAAGAAGCUCAACUGUGGGUGGAGGAAGCAAUCAAGCAAGCCAAAGAAGAAGAGGAAGAAAUAACACACAGUAAAAAAAAUGAACAAUACGUAUUAAGAAUCUUUGCAAAGCACAAAAUAGAAAUUAUAACUAUCUUUGCAAGUAAAACUUGAAAUUCAUUUCUUUAUCAAAUUUCAUUCAACAAAAUCGACUCUUUGUUUGGCAAAUAAUAAUGUCUUGAACAAAAAUUAUAGUUAUUUUAAAAGAAAAAUUAAUGAUGAACAUCUAAACUUGAAAUACAUCCACAUCCAAAUUACAUAAUUUCCAGUUUAUAGAAAUAUACAUAUAUUAUAUGAAUUUUUUUAAAAAUUCAAUAUUUAAUUUACCUUUUAAAAAACUUGUAUUCAUCCUCACAUUGUAAUUAACUAAAUAUACAAAUGGUAGCCACGUAUGGUGGGGUUCGAACCUAGGUGCUUAAGGAUGGUGGGAUGCGAAGUUAAUUUUAAUCUUAUAACCACCAUAAAAGGAUGGUGGCAAAAGCGUCUUUGAUUAAUGUGUCAAAUAGCUAAUUUAUAAUUUAUAUAAAAAUAAAUCAAAUUACAAACCCUUCAAAUAUGCCCUAUUUAGAUUUAAAUUGGUGGGUUUAAUUUUUUUUUGAAAGAACAUUUAAUUACUUAUUUGGGUUUAUUUCAUGUUUGGACUUAAAAAGUAAAAUGCUUGGAUAUGGACUUGGGUUUAAGUAUUUUAAUUAUGUAUAUAAUUUAAUCAUUCCAAUUGUCUCUUUAAAUCGAAUGAAAUUAAUUUGGAUCAUCCUUGGAAUCUUAAUCUCGAAUACCAGAAUAGAAAGAUAAGUUGUUUUUGAUGUCCUAGAGAAAUCUAGCGUGGGGAUAUUAUUUUUUUCUUCAUAAAGUAAACCGAUUUACAUGUCACAAAGCAUCCCAUGCACGUGUCCAUAGAGAAUCAACUUUUAAUCCUACUCGUAAUCUUUUCAACAAGAGGGUGGAAGUCAUUAUAUCUCAAAUUCCUAGUUACUAAUGGUACAACAAGGUACCUAACUAGGAGAGUUCCAAAUUUCAGGCCAGUAGGUUCUACAAUUUCUUACACCUUAAAAUUAAGCAAUUAACUUUUCACCAACAUAACUAAGUUCGUUAGAGUUAGAACAAAAAACAUGGAAGCUAGGCUGUUAGAAUACUAGGUUUUCACACACAAUAAUACCAACUAAAUCUAGUAAAGACACCUCGAUAGCUUAACAUUUUUGUUUUCAUUAACCAUGCCAUAUAUAAGAUGGUCCAGAAAUUGAUCCACCUUGCAUAUUCGAACUUGUGACAUUAAUUAGAUGAUGAAACAUGAUCAUGCAAUGUAACACCACAUGAAGUAUGAAGUAGUGGAUCCUAAUGAACACAUUCUCCUUGAAGAUCAUCCAUUGAGAUCUCAAGCACAUAGUUCGUGUGAAUCCUUCUAAAGCAAUCUUGGUACCUUGAGUAACAAUAAGCUCCAAAGAAACAAACUAUCGAGCAAAUAAACAGCAAUAGAAAAUAAUUCAAUAACUACUCUGAUCCAAGAUAGUAGAUUUCACACCAGAUCGAAUCCAUUUACCGAAAUGAAUUUACUCAAGAGCAUUAAUAAUUAAUAGAUCAAUCUAUUUUACUAAUCUAUGAGUAGCAAAGAAAUAAAUAGCCACAUUCACAUCGCCUCAAACUAAGAUUAACAAAGUUAAUGUAUUGAAACUAGAAGUAGCACAAAUGAACAGAUUGAAACUCAUUCAUCAGACUAGAUUAUCAAAGAGCACCAACUAGACCCAAUAACAUUCAAGAAUAAUAGAAAUAGAUGAAAAUCCUCCAAGCAGAGCAUAAAAGGCACAGAAAAUUAUCAACUAUAGAUGCCACCAGAUUUAGCAAAUACCUUCAAAUGAAGAUAGACAACCACCCUAAAACACUCAAAGAUAUAUUGAUAAACCAUCUAAAUUGAUCAAUCACCCUAAAACAACCAUAAAUGUAUCAUAUCUAACCAAUAAUAUAUUCUAACAGCCAAAUGUCAUCGAAAACUUGAAAACAAACUCAUAAAAGAUAAAGAUUUCAACAUUCUCCAGUUGAUGCAUAAAACAGAGUGAAAUUUGGGAAAAAAAAAAGAAAAACAUUUUACCUGAAUUAACUCUGUUAACAUGAUGAGGCUGUCCAACUAAGUUGUCAUUAGUUGGAUCCUUUUUGGUAGUUCUUUCACACUGCCCCCACUAUUACUGCCUUCGUUGUUUCAUGAUCCAAAACAAGGAAAACACCCACCCAUAAUCAAACCCCAGAAUUAAAAAAAAAACCCAAAAUUAAUACAAAAUGAAGGCAAAUAAACAAAAUAGGGUUUCGAUUUACAUGAAAAACAAGAUCAAAGAAGAGGUAGAAAGGCUAAACUCACUGAAAGCCUAGUAGGAUAAAAAUUUAGAUCCAAGAAGGGAAGAAGACUAACAACAGAGACUGAAAUGGUGAAGUAAGCUGUAACAAAAAAAAGGCAGAAAAAUAUUAUGGGUAAGAAAAAAUGGCAGAGAGGAAAAUGAAAGGAGCAUCGGGAAGGAGAAAUGUUUACCUGAAGGACGCUGGAUGAAGGAGAAGAGUGUCAGAGUCGAAGGAAGUAAGGAAUGAUUGUUGUUUGAGUGUUUUUGAGGUGAGAAUUUGGUGCAGGUAAGAUAGGGUUCUUCAAGCAUCGAAUCAGUAAUCGAUGGAGAGGGGAGGGAAUAGAAAUCACCAAAUUUCCCUGCAUAAGCCUAGAAUGUAAUACACCCGUAAUAGGGUAUUCUAUUGAACCAAACAACUAUUUGUAUGGGCUUGCAGAAUAGACUUGUAAUGGCAUAGCCAUUACAUUAAACCAAAAAUCCCCUUAGGGUCUUCUCUAGAAAGGAGACAUUUUGUUCGUAAAAACAAUCAUAGGGUCAUGAUCAGAGAAAGCAACCGACAGAUUGAAAACUGAGAUUUUUGUACAAUUUUUGAAAUAGUGUUAGUUAGGAAAUGCCAUGUCAAAUAUUUCCUAAACAACAUCAUUUUGUUGUCGAUUGUUUGCCCAAGUGAAAUAGGAGUCCUUAAAAGGUAUUUCAAAGAGGAAGUAACCAUUAAUGUAUUAUAGUAAAUCUUAAGCUCCUUUUAAAUCGUUAGAAAGAUUAGAGAACUUGUCUUUGUACCAAAUGACCUAAUUGCAAUCACCUAAUACUAUCCAACCUUCACUAUCUUUAACAAUUUUAGAUAAAUCCAUGAGCUAUUCCCUAACAUUAUGUCUUCCACACAGUUUAGGUUUACCAUAAAUGUAAGAAAUCUAGGUUUUUAAGUUAUUGUCCUCCAUGUAGCAAGAAAUGCAGUUUUCAUUAAUAGAAAUGACAUUGCACCUAACAUUUUUACACCAAAAUAAAACUGUCCCCCCACUACUAAAGCCUUUGUGAUCUGUGCCAACAAAAGAUUCAAAUUUCCAUUAGACAGUAGCUUUCUAAAACUCAUAUAUGCUUAUUUACCUAAAUGAAAAUUUUCAAUCUUAUGCUAUAUACAUAUAUAUUAUAUACAACUCAUGUACCAUAAAUAAAAAUAACCAUUAUAUCCAAAAUACCAAAUCGACAACUUACCAGUUAAAACCGGUUCAAUCCUGGGUACAUGCCACAUAUUGAAACAUAAAGAACUGUAUGAACAUUUCUUAGUCGAAAGUUGCAAUUUGGAUGCUAGUCAAGUCUCGAGUCUUUAAGAUCUACUAAUACUUGUGCACAGAAUAAAAAGUAGUACGUUGAGUGAGAAAGCUCAGUUGUACUUCCAUGAUUUAAAUCAGUAUAAAUGUAAGCAUUAACAUGAAAAUAAUAUAAUCAAUGUAUGAUCAAGUUUCAACCCUUUCAAUUACCUUUCAUGUACCAAAUACCAAGAUUACGCACAAUCUCAUUUUACGAGCCAUAUGCAUAUUUCAUAUGUAUGAAUACAUGAUAUAUGUAACACCCUUAACUCGAUUCGAUUUGCUAAAUUCAAAUUUUAGGUAUUAACAUACGAGUAUAGACAAAAAUUUAAUCUACUUAUACAAUUUUCAAUUAAAUACAAAUUAACUUCAAACAGACUCGAACUAAUUUACAUAUGUAUAUACAAUAAGUAAAUGCAACUGCAGCAUGUGUUAAUUUAAUUACAAAGAAUAUCUGAAUUGGGAUCCUAUUCUAUUACAGCCAUCCCAGAAUAUGGAUUUCUAAGUAAUCUUUCAGACUUUGAACAUGCCACCAAACACGCUUUGUAUGCAUAACAACUCGAUAUGCCAUUUCUUUUGGCGCAGUCACAGUAUGGUCCCUCCUAGCGUAGAACUUAGUGAGAGUUACAACAUUUACCUAUGUGUUAAUUGCACAUUGCAGUCGAUGAAUCGAAAUGAUGAUCUUAUUGUUCUUGCCCUUAAACCUGUCUUUGGCGAAUACUUUUCUCAAAUUUCAUUAUUUAUAUACCAUAAUAUCAGGCUUCCUUCUAAAAUAAUUUCUUUUCCCAUUAAAGUCUUCAAUACAUCACGCAUGUCUUUCCAUUUGAAUAUUUAUAAAUCUUUAUUUAGUACACACUUCAAAUUAACCCAUUUUUAUCUACAUCUCUUCAAUUCAUUAUUUUCAAUCGAACCAUAGUCUCAUAUAAUACCUUACCGUAUAGGCCAUGGAUGCAUUACACCUUACUGAUUUUACAGAUUACACUCAAAUUUCAUUUUGAAUAUGCCAACCUAGUCAUUCCUUAAUGUGCACCACAAAGACUAUGAUAACACCCCAAAUUCGUAUCUGUUGCCAGAAUAGGGUUACAGAGCAUUACCGUAAAAAAAUAUAAGUUUGAAACAUACACUUCAAACUUCAACAUAAACAUAGCGUAAAUCAUUCACCAACAUGCAUAUCGUCCCUUAAUCGAGCCUUCGAGGCCUUAAAAACACUUUUAAAACAAUUUGAGACUAAAUCGAAAGUGUUUUGAGACUCACAUGGCCGUGUGACUCACACGGCUGAGACUCACGCCCGUGUCUCAAGCCUUGUAACAAUCAAAUUAGGGACACAUGGCCGUGUUUCAGCCUAUGCCCGUACCUGUGUGACUCUCUGAGUUGGAUCACACGGCCAAGUCACAUGCUUGUGUACCGGGCGAUGUAACACUCGAAAUGGCCUUACACGCCUAUGUACCAGGCCGUGUGCUAGGCUGUGUAACUGCCUGACUUCAAACCAUUAAAAACCUACAAUGUGACAUGGUCGUGUGUCACACAUGGCUGAGUCACAUGCCCGUGUCUUAGGCUACGUGGACAAGGAAUUGACCAAAAUUAAGCCAUUUCCUUCACCAAUUUCAAACAUGUACCUACAAGCCAUUUGCACCCUUAACCAAAGCAUCUAAACAUACCAAUUAAAGCAUAAACCAACCAAUUCAAUGAACCAUAAAUCCAUCCAACCAAUAUGCAAACAAGGUACCUCAAAUGCAUUCAACCAUAUCUCACCUAAACAUGGAAACAUUACCACAUUUCAUACAUACCUAUCAAGAUCAAUACCAUUUUAGAAUUUACCAUAUUUUGACCACAUCAAAACUAUUCCAACACAUACCAUAUUGGCUUUUAAAUCAUGCAUUAUAUCUUAACCAGAAUGACACAUACCAUCAAGGCAUCAAAAGUUCCAUAAGUACCAAAAGUUUACCAACUAUAAUAACACAUACAAGAAAGGCAUCAAUAAGUACCAAAAUGACAUUAACCAACAGACAUCAAAUGGUACCAAAAAAACUUAUACAUGCCAACAUCAUCAACUAACAUCCAAUUAGAUACUGAAACAAGUCCUCCUAUACAUGCCAUUAUAAUCUUAUCCAAAACAUCAAAACUACCGCUAUAAUCGUUAGAUGGUGUGAUAGAUCUCCGACAAGCUUCCGAUAAUCUGUAAAGUAAAGAAAAAUAACUACGUAAGCAAUGAAUGCUUAGUAAGCUCGUAUAAACUUUUAACAUAACAUUCCUUUUCAAUAAUGAGUUUUAUAGGGUAAAUAUUAACCUAUACCAAUGCCACAAGAUUUAUAAAACUAUAUAACCAUAAACUCACAAAUGAGUAAAUCCCUCAACAUUACGUAUACUUUUCAUUCAUAAUAUAAUAAGAUCUUAUAAGUUGUAUUACAUAAUCAACAACCUUUUCAUAAGAAGAUGAACCAUUCCAUUUACUUAGCAUAAGCUUAAAUAACAUUAUCAAUUCACGAAUCAGUGUGUUUAUUCAUAACAUAGGUAAAUUCAUCUAUAGCAUAAGUAAAUUUCUCAUAUAUAAGUAAGUUCUUUAACUCCUCAUCCAUUUAACUCAUCAUAAUAUAUCUGAAUUAUGAACUUACCAUUUCAUUACCUUUUCUUACCCGUAUCAUUUACAUAAUACAAGACAUAAGCAUAAACAUCAACCAAUUACACAAGCUUGACACAAGCCUAAAUAUUAUCAUUGAUACACAAGUUAGUGCAUUUAUACCACGUGAUAAGCCAUUUCAUAAGAAAAUAUAUCUUUUGAUUCAUACAACAUCUUCAUGCACAUAAGCAUAUUUCCACUUGGACACUUACCAUUUCGAUGUAUAUCAUUACAAUUAAGCAUGGUAUAAUCCAACCAUAAGCUUAGCACAAGCAUAAGCAUCAUCCACAACACAUGUUGAUGCAUCAACUCAUAAUUCGCUUGAAAUAACAUGAGGUAAAUCAUUAUACAUGAACAACAUCAUUUGAAAUCAUCAAUUUCAUGAACAUAAGUAUUAAACAUUUCCUUUUCAAUCCUUUUCAUAGAUUCAUGACAUAAAUUAUUUGAACACUUACAGUUCCUUUUCUUUCCAUGCCUGUUGAACCACUUAGAAUAAUAUUGGAUACACAGGAAGGCUCACACAAAGUGUGCUAAACAUAUGGUUGAAACCAUUUUCCUUUUCCUUUACAUCAUUGCUCACUCGAGCCAUAAAGUUGGUCUGCUCAAACAAGUUGACGGUCGAAAUGUAAGCUACACGAUGUCGUUCACACAACCUGAUGAGCAUCCGCAACAAAUGCAGGACCUCAGCCAUCGAUAGGACAUUCAAGACCAGCAUCCAAAACAUGGUAACCCCCAAUGACAUGUCAUUUGCAUCCUAUAUAUUCCUAAAGUUCAAAUAAGGCUCGAGAAUCUUCAAUUCAUCAUAGCAUUGAUAUAUUUACACAUAUUGAUUCUUUUACAUCAAAGAAACAUAAUAAUUAUUCAAUCGACGCAACAAUAAAGCAACUAUAGUUCAUACGAACUUACCUGACUAAAUUGCGGCAAUGAUUAAGUACAUGGGUUAUUUGGUAAUUUUCUCUUUUCCUUUAUUUCCACUCGUUCUUAAUCUAAAUUAAAAAUUUCAUUCAAUUCAUUAAUUUAGAUAGCAAAACCAAUUCAUUUUAUGUAAUUUAUUCUUUUUUAAAAAUUUAUAAAAUUUCCCCUAAUAUUUUACUUUUAUUUAAUUUAGUUACUGAGCCUAAAACAUGCAAAUUAACCAUUUUUACUCAAAUUUGAGCUUAGUCGAAUUUACUGGAACCUUACUACAUCCCAUAUUUAAUGUUAUUAUAGAUUUAAUCCUUGUACUUUUACUAUUUUAACAAUUUAGUCCCUAAUGGGUAAAUUCAUCAAAAAUCACUUCACAAAUUACUUAUAAAUAAGAACUAAUACUUUAAAUUCAUCAUUUUACAUCUAGAAUUAAAAAAGAUUCAUUAAUGGAAAAAUUCAAAAUCUUUAACAGUUUCGAAAACGAAGGUACGAGCUAGUUAGACCUAGUUGCAACGAUCUCAAAAACAUAAAAAUUACAAAAAAUGAAUUAAGAAAUCAUAUCAUGCAUGAGUAGCUAAGAAUGUCCAAAAGCUUAAAGAAAAAUCCCUUGAAGCACUCGGUUCCAAUAUAGGAGAAAGAUGAUGCUUAUGUUUCUUUAUUUGUUUCUUUAUCUUUUAAUAAUAUUAUAACAUAUAAAAAACAUAUAAUAUUAAAAAGAAUUAAAGCUUUAACCGUCCACCAACUUAAGAAUGGGUAAUUUAUCCAUUAAGGCCAUCCAAUUAUGUUUGUUUAAUCAAUUAACACCUUUAAACUAAUAGCGAUUGACUUUUUCAACUAUUAUGAUUUAGUCCUUUUUGCUUAAUUAACUCUCUAAACAUUAAAAUUUCCUACCGAAAAUUUAAUACAACCUUAAUAACACUUCGUAAAUAUUUAUAAAAAAUAUUUACGGUUCGGUUUAUAGAAACGAGGUCCCGAUGCCUCAUUUUCUAAAACCACUUGACUUUAGGGCAUACCACUUGAACCUAAUUGUUCUUCUAUUUAACUCAAAUAAUUAAAUAAAAUUUUAUCAAUACAUAUAUUAUUCAUAAAUAUUAAAUAAUAAUAUUUAUGGACUCACACGUCGGAUUUCUGGCCCCGAAACCACUGUUCUGAUACUUCAAAGAAAUGGGUUGUUACAACUAUUCUUUUAGAGUUCGCCAUGAAGGUUAUUCUUUUUUAGUUCGCCACAAAGGCUAUUCUUUCAUAGUUCGCAACAAAGGUUAUUCUUCAUGUCAUGUUUACGAUAUGGAUUUACCUAAAUUCACGAUGCGUGAGGUUUGCCCAGCAUCAUCUUGGGAUAUGUAGAAAACCCCAUUAGGUAAUCACAAUCCUUUAGUUCCUUUUAGAGGUUGUCAUGAUCAUGGCUUAAUAUACAUCUAAGGUUACCAAUCCAGGCUAAACCUUUAAAAUGAUAACAGAUUACCAGUCCAGGCUAAAUCUGUGUCACAUGUAUCUUCGAGUUCACAACAAAUGCUGCAGCUCGAUUAUGAAACAAACUCAUUUUAUAGACAUUUCAUGCACUGAAACAAACUAAGCACAAUUCACUGUUAACAACCAACAUCCUACACAUCUCAUAACAUACAAUCUAGACAUUUAGAUGCAACCAUACGUCACAUCACAUUACUCAUACUUGUACUCAUCAGAUUCUAUACCAAAUAUACAUACUAUCCUCAACAAACAUUCACACAAUCAUAGAUAUCCUUUAAUAAUCCCUCAUAUAGCCACAUACAAACCAUACUAAAACUUUCAAGAUCUCAACAUCACCUUUCAACCAAUUCCCUAUAGAUCUUCUGAUAUGAACAGUACUCCUGCAAAAUUCAUCAUAGAGAUUCACUCGAUUCUCACCUACAGCGGUUCAAAACUCUAGAUAUAGACUUCCAUCAUGCAAUCAAUAGCAACCACUGAUUUGCAUAUUCUACCAUCCUGGGUGGCCUGACAAUGAUGGUUUUCACUAUUUGCAUAUUCUACCAUUCCGGGUGGCCUGACAACGAUGAUUUUCAAUCACUAUAUUGAGGACUCCAUGGUAUGCUAACUAAACUCGACUCUACCCUAAAAAUUUAAUCGAGUAAUUACUAAAUCAAUACACAUAAUAAUCACACAUCAUAGUUUAUAUCAAGCUUUUUUAUGCUAUAUUCAAUUUAAUCUAAUUUUGGACAUUUAAUGCCAUCAUGUAUAAAUCAAGUAAAAAAGCAACCAUACAUUUACCUUAAUAGAUAGAUUUGAAACAAUCACAUAUAUGUAUAUAUGUAUAUAUGCAUGUGUCUAUGUAUUGAUGUAUUGAAUUCAAACUAUAAAAUUACAAAUCAAAGCUUUUGUCACUCGUCUACGACACUAGCUUUUCUUUUAUGUGGAGACGGCCCAGCAUCGUCUUUAGCUAUGUUCAAUAAUUCAAUCAUAAAGCAAUGUCAAUUUCCAUCCAAUUCACAUUCAAAUACAUAGUCAAAAAUAUUUUUCAUUUUAUUCAAUUUAGUCCCUAUAUUCGAGAGACUCGUAUUUUUCAAUAUCUAACAUUGGAUCAAAAUUUAAUUUCACAUUAUUUUAUUAGGGACCCUAUACUUUUAAUAUACAACAUAAUCUCAUGAAAAUUUUCAAUUUGUUCAAUUUAGUCUCUAAUAUAAGAAAAUUAUCUAACAAUCUUAACUUAGUUUUCAAUUUAGUCCUUUACAUAAUCUAAGUUCACUAUCUUGUGAUCUCUUCAAUUUCAAGCCUAAUUCAUCAAUUUUUUCUAAUGGCAACUUGUCAAACAUCUAAUAAUUUACUAAAUUAACACAUGGGCUAACUAAAUCAAGCUCCCAUUAUCAAGAAUCUAUAAAAAAAAUGAAGAAAAUGACUUGAUUACCUUAGUUAAUUUGGGACAAAAAUGAAUAAGAAGGCUUGGAGAAAUUUCUUCUUUCCUUUUAACUUAGGACGGCAAAGUAAGAUGGAAAAGAUGAAAAUGUUUUCAGCUUCCUUAACUUGUUUAAUUAUGAUUAGUUUACAAAACUAAUAUAUAUUUAUCCAUAAUUGUAAUUAUAGAAACUAAGUGGAUGUCAUAAUCAAUUCCCACAAUUACAUAAGAAAUAAUGGUUUAAUAACCAUUUUGGUCCUUUGCAUAAUUACUAACUAGGUCCUCAAGUAUUUUAUAAAUUAAAAUUCAAUAGAAAUUAGAUUUUUACAAGUUAGUCCUUGAGUUUUAAUUAACGGUUUUCUCGAUUAAAUUACUUAACUGAUAUUCAAUAUGUUUUCAUAAUAGCUCAAUAAAUAUUCUCAUUUUACCUUUAUGGACUUAAUUCACAGAAAUGAGGUUUCGAUUUUUUAACACCACUUAAAAUCAAGUCGUUAUAUUAAUAUUCUCAAGGACACCUUUAAUAUUUUGGUCAGCAACAUGAAGAACAAAGUUAAAAGAAAUUGAAGCAGGGUUUAAAUAUCUCAUUAUAAGUUCUUAUCAUAUCUAUUCUUUUUGAUACAAUACUUAAAACUACUCAUAGCCCCUCCCUAACCCUUAAAUAAGAGGUUAAUACACUUCAGCGUACUCAAAUCCACGUCCUCCUGCAUUGGCAACAUUGCCGAUACCAAUCGAGUUAAGACUCAAUCGGUAACACUUCAUUAUUAAGUAAACUUAAAAAUUUAUAUAUCCUUAAAAAAUAAAAUUUUUCUUUCAUUUAUAGAAAUUUCAAAUUAAGAUAUUUUAAAAUAUACUAUUUUAAAAUGUUAGUAUUUGUAAUUAUUUUUGUUUGAAUAAAUUCUUUUUAGAAAAAAAUUUAAAUUAUUAAAAUUUUAUGAGUUAAAAAAAGUAAAAGAAAAAUAAUUAUGUUAAAAAUAAAUAAUAUUGUUGAGGUUUUCUCUUAUUCUCCCUCUCUUUGGAGCAACUCGUUCAUAUUUAUAAGGCACGAUCCCUUAAUGUGACGUGUUAGUGUCGCAGGCUAAAGUUCAAAGCUCGUGGCCAUGGUACAAGAUGUGCCUCAUGGAAGCCUAUCGAUUAGAUGGGAAAUAUUUAGCCCACGAGAACUGGCUCGAUUCAAAGAACUGUUAGAGAAGCCUAUAAGAGUGAAGUCUGGUCGGCCCGAUAAUGAAGAUAUGACAACUUAGGUUAUUUUUAGUAAAUAGGGGAAUCAUAUCUUGUAGAUUUGAUUUGAUAUAAUGUAAUUUUGUAAAUCCCUAAAAUCAAGGGAUAGGCUAAUCUCGUCCAUCAAUGUAAUUUGAUCUUAACCGUCGGUUUUGAGGAAGCUCAACCAUAAAUAGAGAGCCUCUCUCUCAUUUGUAUCUCAUCCAUUGUAUGUUGAAUUCUUAAGAGUAAUAGCAUUCUUUGAGCAUUUACUCAAACACAUUUUGUGCAUUCUUUCUUUGGCUUUCUAUUGUUCAUCUGUACCUUCUUUUAGCACAAUCGCUUCCACUAUACGAAUUGGCACCUUAGAGGAAUUAAAAAGGAAUCCUAACUUUUGGGAGUAAAGGCUGACUUAGGCGAGUUUGGAGCGAACGAAUCGCCUAAGGUCGCACGGAUUGCGAGACGAAAGAUCUAGCCCCAUAACAAGUGGUAUCUGAGCUAUUGGUUCGAAGGCACCAUUGGGAUGUCGAAAAAAGUUGUUGAUCAGAAUGAGCCAAUGCAGACCCGUGGGAGGGCCAAAAAAGUAAGUUACUCGAGGGACAUGCUGACAGCUUUUGAAAAUUGAGUUGUUAAUCUCGAGGAUUCUGUAAGUAACAUGAAGGAGAUGCUUGAGUUGGUCGAGGGACGCACCGAUGGGUUUGACUCAAUAGAGGAGCAACUCAGAGAUUUUGUGUUGGAUUCUCUCGGUGCCAAUACGAAAAAGAUGAAUGAAUUAGUCAAUUCCACCACGACAAUGCUGGCAGAUAGGGAUGAGAAUCUUGAGGAUAUGGUGUUAGCCAUGAAGAAGGAAAUAUAAGAGCUCAAGGGGGAGCUCACGAUUUACAAAGCUACUCUGAGUAAUGGGAUGUUGUCUUCAAGGCCGAAGCAACAAGCAAUGGAUGUUCCCAAACCGGAGAAGCUUAAGGGUGUUGGAUCGCCGGCACCCCUACGGCGCAGCGAAAAAAAAUAAAAUCGGUGACCCUAACCAUGGAUCCAUGUGUGAAGAACGAAUCGGGGUGAAAAGAUUACGAAAUUACCUAAUAUUUCGAUUGAGAAGACAGUAACUUCUCGACAAUGUGUAGUCUGAUCUACAGUCAAACCAAGCCGCAAUCUAUCAAGACUCCGACCUCUACGUAAUCCACCCAAUUGACUACGAACGGAAGAAAAAUCCCCAAAACAGUUUUGAGAGUUAUAUUUCUUUGACGGCUGCUAAACCUUAAAAUAAUGAAAAAUAGGAUUCUGAUAUAUCCCUUUUAUUUUUAGGGUUUUUUUAGAAAUUAAAUAAAUAUAAAAUAUUUUAAACCGAAAAUUAUAAUUACAUUAAUUAUAAUAUAAUUUCGGUAAACCAUAUAUUUAUUUAAAUUCAUAUGCUAAUCAAAUUCAUGUCCUCAUUAUAUGUACAACAACCUUGUACAUAAUGUGUUGGAAAUUUGAUUACUGAAUUAAAUUAAUUCUAUAAUUAAUUUAAUUCAAGUGACACCCAAAAAUAAAACCAACUAUGGUUUAUUCCGUUCAUUUCCACUAUAGGGUGUGACCCUGUAGGUUCCUGUAACGUUAGCAGUAAUACUAGAACGAUUCCAAUGUUACAAACAAUGAGUGGCAUCUAGCAAUGCAUCAUUGCUACCUAAGUCACAAGAGAUCAUGAUUCGACAUAACCUUUUAUGAUUAACCUUUUAUGCAAUAAUCCUUAAGUCAUUUAUCUCUGGAUUGGACACAAGUCAUGGAAUAGUCACACUUGUAUAGUCCAUUACAUGUUCCUUGAUAUCUUAAGCAGACUACGAUAUACAAAUAAGUAUGACAUCUCAUAUCAACUUAUUUGAGCAUGGCCAUGCAUUUCUAGUCUUACUUAAUCAAGUGGCCUAAGAUAUUACUCCCAUUAUGUAGGAGGGACUUAUUCUAUAUCGGCCAACCAUAUCCCUCUACAUCGAUUGUGAUAUAUCCAACAUCAGCCUUCAUAGAACAACCAGUUACGGUGUACGUUUAACUAUAUCAAAAUAUAUUACUCACAAUGUUGGGAUUAUGAUGAUCUCAAGUUUGAGGAUCAUAUACAUAUUAAUCACUAUGAGUAAUGCCGUGACAAUUACAUAAUAAUCCAAGAGACAUGCCCAUAAUGGGUCAGUCUAAUAUGUUGUUCUCUAACACACAUAUUCAUGCAUCGAUUCUGACAUUCCAUAUCAAUGACAACUCUUUAUCAUCAAUCAACUACAUGUUAGUCUUAAUGCAUUAUCGUUGUCCUAUCCAACAAUAAUACUUGACUAAGGAUCUUUUAAGAAUAAUCAUAUUAUUCUUAGGACAUUAUUAUAAAACAACUUAUUUAUACACACAGAAAAGAAACUGAAAUAAUAAUGGUAACGCCUUAUAUUAAUAAACAUGAUAAAUCAAGUAUGUUAUUACAACCAUCUCAUGAUUAGUCUUUGGGCAUACUCUAACAAUCUCCCACUAGCACUAAGACCAAUCACUUAUAUAUCUAAUACCAAGUGACUUAGUGUGACGAUCAUGCUUCUGCUGUGUCAGAGGCUUGGUCAAGGGAUCAGCAAUGUUAUCAUCUGUAGGUACCCUGCAUAUCUCUACAUCCCCUCGAUCGAUAAUCUCUCGAAUAAGAUGAUAGCGCCUAAGUAUAUGUUUGGAUCGCUGGUGAGAUCUAGGUUCUUUAGCUUGUGCAAUGGCUCCAUUGUUAUCACGUCGGAGUUCUAUAGCAUCUGAUAUGCUAGGCACAACCCCUAGUUCAGUAAUGAACUUUUUGAUCCAAACUGCUUCUUUUGCUGCCUCACUGGCUGCAAUAUACUCGGCCUCUGUUGUAGAAUCGGCUACUGUACUUUGCUUUGAACUCUUCUAGCUCACAGCACCACCAUUAAGGCAAAAUAAAAAACCUGAUUGUGAUCGAGAAUCGUCCUUAUCAGUUUGGAAGCUGGCAUCAGUGUAACUUUUUACACUUAACUCUUCCUCACCUCCAUAUAUUAGGAAAGUAUCAUUAGUCUUUCUCAAGAACUUAAGGAUAUUCUUGACUGUGGUCUAGUGACCUUCACCAGGAUCUACUUGGUAUCUGCUCGUCAUGCUUAAGGCAUAUGAGACAUCUGGACGAGUACAUAACAUGGCAUACAUGAUAGAUCUAAUAGCGGAAGCAUAUGGAAUUUUACUCAUGCAUUCUCUCUCUUGUGGAGUUGAAGGACACAUUUCCUUCGAGAGUGAAAUACCAUGUGUCAUAGGUAGGAAUCCUCUCUUAGAUUCUUUCAUACUGAACCUUUUCAGUACUUUAUCUAUGUAUGUACUUUGGCUUAGACCUAAUAGUCGUCUUGAUCUAUUCUAUAGAUCUUUACUCCUAAGAUGUAAGUGGCUUCGCCCAAGUCCUUCAUGGAAAAACAACUUCCUAACCAAGUCUUAAUAGACUGCAGGGUAAGUAUGUCAUUUCCCAUGAUAAGUAUGUCAUCCACAUACAGUACCAAGAAUGUUAUAGUGUUCCAACUAACUUUCUUGUAAACACGUGGCUCAUCUUCAUUUUUGAUAAAUCCAAACUCUUUGAUUGCAUCAUUAAAUCGAAGAUUCCAACUACGAGAAGCUUGCUUUAAUCCAUAAAUGGAUCUUUGUAGCUUACAUACCUUUCUAGCAUCAUUUGGAUUGACAAAACCUUCAGGUUGUGUCAUGUACACAUCCUCUUCAAGUUUCCCAUUAAGGAAAACUGUUUCGACGUCCAUCUGCCAGAUUUCAUAGUCAUGAAAUGCAGCUAUAGCGAGCAAGAUCCUGAUGGAUUUAAACAUAGCUACAGGAGAAAAAGUUUCAUCAUAGUCAACACCAUGAACUUGGCGAAACCCUUUAGCGACUAAUCGCCCCUUGUAUGUUUGUACGUUACCAUCCAUGUCGGUUUUCUUUUUGAAAACCCACUUGCACCCUAUGGGCUUAACCCCUUCGGGUGGGUCAACCAGAGUCCAUACUUGGUUUUCAUACAUGGAAUCCAUCUCAGAUCUCAUGGCUUCAAGCCAUUUUUCAGAGUCUGGGCUCGUCACCGCUUCUUGAUAAGUCCUAGGCUCAUCUUGAUCUAUAAGUAGAACGUCACCAUGCGUUGUAAUGAGAAAUUCAUAUCUCUCGGGUGCUUGGCGUUCUCUUAAAGAUCUACGCGGUGGUUGUGUUUCUACAGCAAUUACUUGUUCCUCAAUCCCUUAUGGAAUUUGUUGUUGUUCUAUCUCUGGUUCAGUGAUAUUUUACGAUUCUCAAACUUUAUCAAGUUUAAUCUUUUUCCCACUUCCUUUUCUAGAAACAAAUUCUCUCUCUAGGAAGACACUAGUCCGAGCAACAAGUAUUUUGUUCUCAGUGGGAUUAAAGAAAUAAUAUCCUUUGGUUUCUUUUGGAUACCCCAUAAAAACACAUUUUUUAGAUUUGGGUUCAAGCUUAGUAGACGUCUGACGUUUAACAUAAGCUUCGCAGCCCCAAAUUUUUAUAAAAGACAUACUGGGAUGUUUCCCAGUCCACAUCUCAUAUGGUGUCUUUUAAACCGAUUUAGAUGGAACACGAUUUAGUGUGAAAGCAGCUGUCUCAAGUGCAUGUCCCCAAAAAAAAGUCGGCAGAUCAGCAUGACUCAUCAUGGAUCGAACCAUGUCUAAAAAAGUUCGAUUUCUUCUUUCAGAAACUCCAUUCCAUUGAGGAGUACCAGGAGGAGUAAGUUGUGAGAUAAUCCCACAUUGCUUCAAAAGAUAAUCAAACUCUAAGCUCAUAUACACCCCACCUCGAUUAGAUCGAAGUGUCUUGAUAGUUUUUCCUAGUUGAUUUUGUACUUCAUUUUUGAAUUCCUUGAACUUUUCAAGGGAUUCAGACUUAUGGCGCAUGAGAUAGACAUGCCCAUAUCUACUAAAAUCAUCAGUGAAAGUAAUGAAGUAGUGAAACCCUCCUCUAGCCUGUGUAUUUAUUGGCCCACAUACAUCAGAAUGUAUUAAGCCCAAUAAAUCACUAGCUCGUUCACUUUUACCAGUAAAAGGAGAUUUAGUCAUUUUUCCCUGUAAGAAAGAUUCACAUACUUCAAAUUGUACAAAAACAAAUGAAUCCAAGAGACCAUCUUUAUGGAGCUUGGAUAUGCGUUCCUCACUUAUGUGGCCCAAACAACAAUGCCAUAGAUAAGUUUGAUUUGAGUCAUUUAUUUUUGAUCUUUUAGUAUUUAUGUUGUAGAUGGGAUUUGUUUGAUCUAAAAUAUAGAGGCCAUUAAUCAAUUCUGUCGAACCAUAGAAAACAUUAUUGAGAUAAAAGGAACAACAAUUAUUCUUAAUAAUUAUCUCAAAACUAAUUUUGUCUAAACAAGAAAUUGAAAUAAUGUUUUUAGUCAAACUGGGCACAUAAUAACAAUCCUCUAAACAUAAACCAAGUCCACUAGGCAAAGAUAAAUUAUAUGUUCCUACAGCUAAUGCAGCAACUUUUGCUCCAUUUCCAACUCGUAAGUCCACAUCUCCUCUAGCCAAAGUCCUACUCCUUUGCAGUCCCUGUAUAGAAGUACAAAUGUGAGAACCACAACCAGUAUCUAAUACCCAUGAAGUAGUAGUUGAUAAAUUAAUAUCAAUAACAUAAAUACCUGAAGCAGACAUUCCGCUUAUUUUGGCCUUCUUGACUUCCUCAAGAUAGAUAGGGCAGUUCCGCUUCCAAUGUCCAGUCACACCACAAUGAAAACAGUUUCCUUCCUUAGCCACCCCUCCUUUAGGUUUCAAUGCAGCAUUUACUUUUCCAGGCUUGGGCCUACAUUUGCCCUUGGGCUUUGUCUGAACUUUGGCCUUUCAUUUGCCCUUAUUAUUACGGACCAUCAGUAUAGGCUUGGGUCCAACCUUUUUCAUAUUGCCUUCAGCAGUUCGUAACAUACUGAGCAACUGUGGUAGAGUCUUAUCAAUUUCAUUCAUAUUAAAAUUGAGGAAAAACUGGCUGUAACUAUCCGGCAAUGAUUGCAGAAUAACAUCAGUGGCCAAUUCUUGGCUCAAUGGAAAACCAAGCUUAGACAGGCUUUCAAUAUAGCCAAUCAUCUUAAGGACAUGAGGUCCUACUGGGCUUCCUUCAGCGAGCUUACAUUGGAAUAGGGCCUUAGAGAUAUCGAACCUCUCUUGCCGUGCUUGCCCCUAAUAAAGUUCUUUCAGGUGCUCAAUCAUUUCAUAAGCAACCAUGUCCUCAUGUUGCUUCUGAAGCUCAGGAUUCAUAGUGGCAAGCAUAAGACAUCCAACGUCUACCAUGUCAUCGAUAUGCUUCUUGUAAGCAUCUCUAUCAGCCCUCGAGGCAUUAGUGGGUGGUUCGUUAGGAACUGGUUGUUCACUGACAUAUAAUUUCUGUUCUUAUUUGAGGACAAUCCUCAAGUUACGGAACUAGUCAAGAAAUUUUAAAUCAUUUAACUUGUCCUUCUCAAGGACCGAUCGCAAUGAUAGUGUAUUUGUGUUUUCAGCCAUAAUAUAUCUACAACAAUGAAAUUAUGCGUGUGAAAAUUUAUCAAAUUUAUAUCAAACAUUAAAAUGCCUUAAUUAAAUGAUGUUCCCACUAUUUUAUUACAAAACUAAUACCCUCAUAGAUUAGUUUCGGAAAGACUUUCUCGAAAAGUAUUUCAAGUGGGUUAAGGAUCCAUAUUUCACCUCCUCUUAAGUCAGCUUUGGCUUUACUCUCAAGAUUAUGGUUAUCUAGGUAAGCAACACUUUGCUAAUUACAUCAUAUGUAACUCCUAAAGUUUGGUGAACAACUCUUGUUCUAAUCAUCUUAUGAUUUACCCAAAUAACUCGCCUCUAGGUUUCUAAUCCUAUUAGAAUAACAUAGUUAAGUCAUUAACCAAUUUUAACCAGCGAAUAUCACUUGUUUAUUCUUCGCGUUUAACCAAGAUAAAUACUAGUACUUCGCUUUAGCAGAACUUACACAGUAUUGAUCGAGGCCUUAACGAGGGAAAAAUUGGAAGGCUAUGUUGACUUAAUAUUUUAAUAGAGGGAUUUUAUUAAGAUCAGUCCAUCUCACCAAUUACGGUUUACUUUAGUCCAUUUAGCCAUUUAAUUGAUCUCAUCAAUUAAUGUGGUUCAAUAUUAUCAAAUUUUAACAUGUUUAAAAAGUUGGCAUGCUUUAGACAUCCAUAGCAUCUCAUACAUGAAUACAGUAAUAAAUAAAUGCAAUAGUUAUAGCCCAUAAACUAAGGUGGUGCAACCCAAGCCAAUGGGAGAACCAAAAGGAAACCUAAAGGUGAAAGCCGGUUUUCAAGCUAUCAUUCCACACUGGAUGGCCCAUCUUCCUUCUCGACUAGCCCAUAGCAACUAUUGCAAAUUACAAUAUGUAGAAACUUGUUUUACAUACGAGGGAGUAAGAUGAGAAAAGAAAUAUAAGAGAAUAGUAGUAAGGCACGACACGUAGACCGUAUUUAUAAAAUUACAACCUUUUAUCAAAUGGGCUGUUGGGCUAUAACUAUGCAUUUCAAACACCGUUCAUGUCAAAAAUUAGCAUUUAUAAAAACACUUUAUUAAGAUGAAUUAUAACAAAUCCUUUCAACUUUUAUGGCCCACCAAGUUUUAUUUAUUAUAAACAUAAUUUAAGAAGAUGGGGGCUGAGGCGGCAGAGGGAGCGGGCGGAAACAGUGUCCUUUGUUGAGCUUGGUCCAACGAAAGACAAGUUUGAGUCGUCUAAGCGUAAUGGAAAAGGGCAAUGGUGAGAGAAACCAUGAGGAAGAUGAAGAGGGACAUAGUGAUGAUGGCAACAGUACCGAUAGGACAAGUGGCAACGAGAAACCACGAGAUACGAAGUGGGGAUCCAACAACUCAAUGGACAAGGGAAAGAGGAUAAAAUGCUUCCUUUGUCAAGGACCACACAUGGCGCGAAAAUGUCUGAAGAAAUUGAUGAUUUCGACGAUCAAAAAGAAAGAUGAGCCAAAGGAAGAGGUGAAGCCUAUUGAGGGAAAUACGUCGAGGGUCAAUUCGAUGGUGCUCAUUCCUAAGAAAAGGAAUGGUGAAAAAGGGGUGAUGUUUGUGGACAUCAAUAUUGCGGGUCAAAAGCGAAGUGCUCUUAUUGAUAUGGGAGCAUCGAACUUGUUCAUAUCAGGAAAAGCUGUGAAAAAGCUUGGUCUGUCGAUUAAAAAAUCGAAUAAGAAGAUCAAGACAGCAAAUUUUGAAGAGGAUCUAAUUGUGGAGUAGUUCGUAAUGUGGAGCUGCAAUUCGGCUAAUGGAAGGACAAGGAAGACUUUAAGGCAGUCCAAUUAGAUUAUUACUAUAAUGUACUUGGUUUAAACUUCCUUGACAGGAUUCAGACAGUUCUAUUUCCAUGGGCUAAUGAAAUUCAUAUUGUCAUUGGUCCAUUAUCAAAGAUUGUUGUGUUAGUGCAUCACGAUAUGAAGGUUGGGACCAAUGUGUUGUUGUCAAUCCAACUAGUCGAAGAUGUUUCGUAUGGGAGAAAUAUUAACGCGAUAGAACGGAAUGCUAUAAAAGCCCCUUCAAAAAAGUUAAUGGAGCAUAGACCGAUAUGAGACCUGUGGAGUCGACUGUAGAGCCGUCACCUUUAGGGAAGGUGGAUUGUGUACCAAACUUUGAAGGGAAAGAAGUAAUGCAAAAGCAGUCGAAAUGAGUAAAUGCUGUGAGUAAGGUACAUUGCAAACACUUUGAUAGUGUUUUGAAUUCUGACUUGUUGGCUUGGCAAGGUCGUAGGGGCCCUUUCAAAGUUCUUAAGUAAGGAGGCCGAGGGACUGUGGGUGGUACAAAGCCAAGAUGUGAGAAUCCAGGGGAUUCUAAUAGGAACAAGUCAAAAUUGGGGCAAGUUAAAGCGGAGACUUCUUGCCAACGGGAUGUACAAUAAGUGCAACGGUUCAAGUUAAAAGGCAACGGAAGCCAAGGCAAAGGUUCCGAAGGAAAGGGCAACUCAAUCACAAGACAAGUCAGGAAUAAGCUAAGGCAACGAGAAAGUUCCAAGGUGAAUCAAGUCUGUGUCAUUCAGAAGUUGCAACGAAGGCAUUGCGAGAAUAGGUGGGGGAGAAUGUCACGGGCCAAAGUGCAAAGCCCGUGACCAUGCAUAAGAUGUACCCCAUGGAGGUCUAUUGAUUAGAUGGGGAACAUUUAGCCCACGAGAACUGGCUCGAUUCAAAGAACUGUUGGAGAAGCCUGUCAGAUUGAAGCCUGGUUGGCCAGAUAAUGAAGAUAUGGCAACUUAGGCUAUUUUUAGUAUGUAGUGGAAUCAUAUCUUGUAGAUUUGAUUUGAUAUGAUGUAAUCUUGUAAAUCUCUAAAAUCAAGGGAUAGGCUAAUCUCAUCCGCCGAUGUAAUUUGAUCUUGACCGUCAGUUUUGAGGGAGCUCAACUAUAAAUAAAGAGCUUCCCCCUCAUUUAUAUCUCAUCCAUUGUAUGUUGAAUUCUUAAGAGUAAUAGAAUUCUUUAAGCAUUUACUCAAACACUUUGUGUGUAUUCUUUUUUUGGCUCUCUAUUGUUCAUCUGUAGCUUCUUUUGGCACAAUCGCUUCCGCUAUACAAAUUGGUGCCUUAGAGGAAUUCAAAAAGAAUCCUCACUUUUGGGAGUAAAGACUGACUUAGGCGAGUUUGGAGCGAAUAAAUUGCCUAAGGCUGCACGGAUUGCGAGACAAAAGAUCUAGCCCCGUGACAUUAAGGGACCAUUAGGUGCCAAGAGCAUGAAAUAUUCACCCCUAGCUCGACACGUAAUCUGAAACGUGUCUCUCCCCACUAGGUGGUGAGAUGAUCACUAUAACACCCUUAACUCGUCUCUAUCACUGAAUUAGGGUUAUGUUAUACUACGAUAGUUAACAAGUCUGAUAAUAUCUUAAAACAAUUCAAAAAUCAAUUUAAACAUCAUAUAUCAAUAUUCAAUCAUUAUUCACAGCAUAUAAACAUAAAUGAAACUUAAAUCGGGCCUACGAAACCUAAAAAUCAGUUUAGAAACAAGUCAUUUAAAUAUACAUUUCAUUUAAAUCAUUAUUCACAGCAUAUAAGAGUAAAUUGAACUUAAAUAACAUCUUUUAGCUAUGGUCUUAUUCAUUUGAAUCAUGAUUAACCUGCUCAUAUCCAUUUAAUAUUAUAUACCAUUCAAUUCACACAUACUCAUUUACCAUGCUUCACAAAUCAAUCUAACAUUUCCAAUUUUAUGACUUACCUCAAUCAUGAUAACUAUAGUAUAUAUAAACAAGCACACAUAUAAUUGAAUUCAAAUCAUUAAAAAUAUAAUAAACCUAAUACGAACUUACCUAAACCAAUUCUGCAGCAAAAACAACCCCAACUUCUGAUCAUCAAUUUUUCCUUUCCCGUGUUUAUCAAUCGACUAAUACAUUUCUUGAUGUAAAUAUAUUAAUUUUAUUCAACUAAUCGAUUCAAAUAUCAUAAAAUACUUAAAUUCACAUUUUUUGACUCUUUAUCAACAUUUUACCUUUUAUUCAAUUUAGUCUCUAAACCCAAAACUUUUAAAUUGAACACAUUUAAUCCCAAACCAUACUAGAAUAAUUUCAUAUAGUCCUUUUACAUCCCAUAUUUAACACAUUUGCACAAGAAUUUCAUACAAUUUUACUAUUUUAACAACUAAAUCCCUAAAUACAAAAUUAACAAAAUUUACUUAAUCAAAUAAUCCUUAGACAUUUCAUAGCUUCCAAAUCCAACAAUUUCUAUCAAAAACACCUAAGAUUCAUCUAUGGGAAGUUUUAAAAUCUUUAACAAUUUUAAAAUCGGUGAUAUGGGUUAGCUGAAUCUAGUUGCAACAUCUCAAAAAUAUAAAAAUACUAAAAGAAGAGCUUGAAUUUCAUACCAUGCAAGGAGAUUUAAAGCUUGGUUGAUUCUUCCUUCAAGCUUCAAUGGUGGUUUCAAUUAAAUAAAAAUAAAAUGAAGAAGAUGAUGACUAAUUACCUUUUGUUUUUUUUAAUAUUUUAAUAAUAUUAUAACAUAUAAUUCUUUUGAAUUAAAACAUUUUAAACAUAAAAUUAUUUUCGCCCAUUAACCGUCCACACUAACUAAAAUAAGUUCUAAUUGCAUUUUAAAACCUUCAUUUAAUACUUUUAUAACCAUUUAAUACAAAUAAACUUAUAGCGAUUAAUUUUUACAGUAUUUACGAUUUGGUCCAUUUUACUAAAUUAAUUAUCUAAACGUUAAAAUUUUUGGACCAAACUUUAAUACACCUAUAUAACCACUCCGUAAAUAUUUAAUAAAAAUAUUUACAAGCUCGGUUAAUAGAAACGAGGUCCCGAUAUUUCGCUUUCCAAAACCACUUGACUUUAAGGACAAACCACUUGAACUAGACUAUUCAUUUAAAUAAAAAAAAUUAUCAAAUUAAAAUUUGCUAUAAUAUUAUAUUUGACUCAUAAAAAUUAAGUAAUAAUAUUUACGGGCUCACUCAUUGGAUUUAUGGCCUCGAAACCACUAUUUUCAACACCAUUGAAAAAUAGAUUGUUACAAUCACACUUUGCGUGAUGUUUGUGAUGGGUGGCUUGUGACCUUGCAAGGUUGUGAGGCAAGAUGACGACGACGAAAUGGUUAAAUGAUAAUGCCUUGGUGAGGACAUCUUCACAAGAUGGUGAGGCACUUCGAUGGCCUAAGAGUUGGGCUCAUGAGAUAUUGCGAGGUGGCAAAGAUUACCUUGCGAAGUAAGAAGGCAAUGGCUGGCUUGCGAGGGCUCGUGAAGUGGCAACGGACAGGAAAUGGGCCUCGCAAAGUGAUGAUGGACUUGUGAGAUGGCAAGGCACCAUAGCUGGCUUGCGAGAUGGGUCGGGCUUCUCGUUUCAUAUGGUCGAGUUGAAUUUUAAGUUUCUCAAAUAUUCUAUAACAAAUAUAUAUAUAGCUUAUAUAUAUAUAUAAGCAAUGCAAAAAUCAUUAUAUUCAUGAAAAUAUAUAAGUUUUUAAAUAAUAUAAAUAAAUAUUUUGAAGUUUAACCCUUUUUUUAUUUUGUGGUAAGGCAUAUAAAUGAAUUAAAAUUCUAAAAAAAUUUUGAAAAAUAGGACCUUUUGAAAUUUUUUAGUAUUUUUGUUCAAACAAGUUAAUUUAUUUUUGGAAAAUUUAAAACAUUAAUAAAAUGAAAUCUCUUAUCUGAAUUUCUCUUCUAAAGAGAAUUUUUUUUAUUUUUAAAGUUUUUUUAUGGUGUUAUAAUUUAUUUGGCCUCUAACUUUAUGAAAAAAAAAUAUUGUAGAAAAAAAUUUAUUGUAGCCAUUCAUUUAAAAUUUCACAUUUUUUAAUUCUUAAACUUGUGUAUUUAUCAAAUUACUCCAAUAUGGAUGGAAAAGUUAACAUUUUUUAACUUUAUUGAUGUGACAACAUGGAUUAUCAUGUGGAUAACAUUAAGUAUUUAAUUGACUUAUUAAAAUUUUUAAAAAUUAAAAGUAUUAUUUUUAAAAAUUAAAAAUCAUUAAAAUUAUUUAAAAAGUAUAAAAAAUUUAAUUUUUUAGAAAAGUAAUUACAUGCUGACAUGUCGUACAUGUGGCAAUUCACAUGUAUGCCACAUCAACAAAGUUGGCAAAAGUUAACUUUUCUAUCCAUUUUGAGGUUAUUUGACAAAAAAUGCAAGUUCAAUGGCUAAAAGAGACGGAAAAUUAAAUGAAGAGCCAAAAUAAACUCUUUUGUAAAGUUGGAAGACAAAAAAGACAUUAUACAUUUUUUUUAAUGAUGAAGUGUGAACACUUAUUAACUAUCAUGAUAUUUAUGCUUUAUUUAAACUCUUGCUUGUGUUACUAUCACGAGCUAAUUAGACACCAACUCAAUUGAAAAUUAACCAAAAAAAUCCUUUAAAAGUAACAAAUAUUAUUAUUAAAUUAUUUUCAUUUUUAUAUAAAACCUUGUAAAAACAAUUGAAACCUAUAAUAAAUAUGUCAAUGAUGGACUUCAACCUAGAAUAUUAAGAUCUUCAAUGUUUCAAUUUUGCUAUUCCAACCAAUAAUUAAUUUAGUUUUUAUAUAAUUUUUUAAAUAUAUUUAUAUAAUAUUUUUCAGGUUAAUAUAAUUUAAUAGAACUAUAUUUGUGAUGUAGAUAUGCAUCAAAUAUAAAUUUUAUCAAAGUGGAAGUUUCCUCGUAAACACGUCCACCCGGCUAUGGUAGAAUAGUCCAAUAACUUAGAUCACAUAGACCCCUAGUCAAUACGAUAUGGAAAACAUUACCCUAUAAAUAUCUCCACUGCCCUCUCAUCCUUUGAAUGUGGAGUCCUUAACUAUGGGAAAAUAGCUACUAACAUAUGUUCUCGUAGGACUACUAGUUGCUUCCGCUAUAACCCAAACCGUGUUGGCUCAAAACUGUGGCUGUGCGCCAAACUUGUGUUGCAGUCAACAUGGUUAUUGCGGUCAGGGUAACGAUUACUGUGGCACUGAUUGCAAAGAAGGCCCUUGCUUCUCCAAGUCUCCCACUGGUGCUUCAGUUGCCUCCAUUGUUUCACCUCAGUUCUUCAACGGGAUAAUCAACCAAGCUCGUGCAGAUUGUGCAGGCAAGAAAUUCUAUACACGACAAGCUUUCCUGACUGCACUUGAUUAGUUGAUUCCUUUCCCGAUUUCGGAAAAUUGGGUUCUGAUGUUGAAUCCAAGCGUGAGAUUGCUGCUUUCUUUGCCCAUGCCACCCAUGAGACUGAAUGUAAAGCUCUUUUUCCUUUGAACUAAACCACAGAUUCAAAGCCAAUUAUAUAGUCCUAAAUCUGCUGUAUUUGUAUAUAUUCUUAUUUUUGCAGUCUUUUGCCAUACAGAAGAAC